rnacentral:lncRNA from 1 species
UAGUGUGCCCCGCAGUCAUGCAUCGUCUGUUUUGCUGGAUAAUGGUGGUUAUUGUUUACGUUAUUAGUAGCCUGAGAGUGUCGUUGAGAUUUGAAACCUCUGAAUAUCUAUACUCUUCCAAUCUUUGUAGCAAAUGGAUUGUUUGGUAUUGUUGUUUUCGCCCCAUGAGAUUUCCUAGAUGUUGCUGUUUUCUCCCAUCAUGUUUUUGUUGUCGCCAGGAAUUUACGCUUCUAGAUCCAGCUCUCACGCAAGUCAAGCGUGCAAGCUAGUUAAAGCACAUUGAUCCGCUGAGUCUCGGCGUGAUAUAAAUUGAAGAAGAGGCAAACUGAGAUUAUCGAACGGGAAGUAAACAUGGCGGAGGCUUGCGCCAAACACCUCCCCAGCGCUGCUACCCUUAGAGGAGUGCUGGUCAAUAGCAACAUUACAUACCGGUUCAGGUGUUUGCUAACAUUGCAGUUUAAGCAAAGGCGAGGUUUUCUCUGCCUAUUUCGCUGGUUACAGAGGAUCUAACACCUCACCAUCAUGCGAUCCGACAGUUUCUGGACAUCCAAAUCGAAACAUUUGGGCCAUCAGAAUAUCUUCUAUUUCCACGUUGGAAUUUUUAGUUUAAACCGAUGGCGAGCUGCAUUCCAGAAAUUGGUAGGUUGCAUCUAUUUUGGGGUCUUUUCAUAUGUGACUCAGUUGGACUUGACUGAGUAAAUGUAUGCCAAAAACGCAUGUUUGGCUACCGUAGCUACCGUUGACUUGCUUGCGCUCUGGGUGAGAACCUAGACCCAGUUUCCCGGUUCGGACGAUGGCGGCGCUAGUGUCGCUCUCCCUCAUGGGGGCAUCGUUUUUGGAGCAGCUGCCGGAUGGGGAAGACAAAAGGUGGAGCGGUGUUUCAUUUACCGCAUCGAAGACGACGGAUCUCGGUGGCAUGGCGCAGCAGGGUCUUGGCGGCAGAGGUGUGAUGAUGGACGCGCAGGGAGGUGGUGUUGUUUGGCACUGUGGUAGCGUCGACGCCAGUCCUGGCAAAGUCGAUGCGUCUGUACAUGCUCUGAAGAUGGAUCGGUGGAUGAUGGUGGUGGCGGCCUCUGAGGGUGCGCCAGACCGGUGUGACCUAGUCCCGGCAGUGGUCUGGCUGGGCCAUCCGGCUUUAGAUGUUAGGCUUUGGUGCGAUGUCUGUUUGGUAUUCUGCUCGGACAUUGGGCACCCUUCAUCAUGGGGAUAGGAGUAGCGACAGGUGUUGCUAAGUUGAUGGCUUCAGGCUUACUGAUGUAUUACUUUGUAAGAUCUUUGUGAAUAAUUAAUAAAAUGGCUGCAUCAUCGUCCAGAUGUAGAGGCCGGGGGUAUAUCUUUUUUUCUAAAAAAGGAAAAUGCAUGUUCUGCACCUUGUUUGGUAACCUACAUAUAGGCUAGCUGCAUCAGGUAACCAAUUUUUCCCUGAUGUUUGAUGGCAUGCGUUGGGCAUGGCGUAAUUUGUGAUCAUCCCUUCUCACUAGUGGUGACCUUACCGCACACGAUCAAAACAUCAUUUCAGUCCUAGCUAGUACAUGAAUGGUAGUUCAUCUUAACUACUAACAAAUAGGAUAGGAAUUAACAGUCAUAUGGCUCAACAGGGAAAAGUUCAUCGAUGCCGAACUAGGCGAAAGUCCAUCCUCUUCUUAUACACCUACUACUAAAAUUGCCUUUUAGCAUCUCAAAGAAGCACCUGCUGCAGCUCCAAUGCUAGCUCUACCAGACUUCAAGAAACAUUUUGUUGUAGAAACAAAUACUAGCAACAAAGAGAUUGGAGUUGUGCUUAUGCAUGAGGGUCACCCUCUCUCACCUCGGCAAAGCUCUGGCCCUAAGAGCAUCUCCAUCCGCGCCCCAACAGGCCCCCAGGCCCCUUUUUCGGCGCCGGCGCCCAAAAAAGGCCCAGACGUGCCCCCAAAAGCGCAUUUUUGGCCGGUUAGGCCCAAAACUGGCGCCGGCAGACCAAGGCCAAACCCGGCGCGUGAUACGUCUCCAACGUAUCUACUUUUCCAAAUACUUUUGCCCUUGUUUUGGACUCUAACUUGCAUGAUUUUAAUGGAACUAACCUGGACUGACGUUGUUUUCAGUAGAAUUGCCAUGGUGUUAUUUUUGUGUAGAAUAAAAGUUCUCGGAAUGACCUGAAACUUCAUGGAGUCACGUUUUGGAAUUAAUAAAAAAUAUUGGCGAAAGAAUCAACAGAAGGGGGCCCACACCCUGUCCACGAGGGUGCAGGGCGCGCCCCCUGCCUCGUGGGUCCCCUGGACCUCCACCGACCUCAACUCCAACUCUAUAUAUUCAUGUCCGGGGAGAAAAAAUAUCAGAGAGAAGGAUUCAUCGCGUUUUACGAUACAGAGCCGCCGCCAAGCCCCGUUCUUCCUUGGGAGGGCAGAUCUGGAGUCCGUUCGGGGCUCCGGAGAGGGGAAUCCGUCGCCAUCGUCAUCAUCAACCAUCCUCCAUCACCAAUUUCAUGAUGCUAACCGCCGUGCGUGAGUAAUCCCAUCGUAGGCUUGCUGGACGGCGAUGGGUUGGAUGAGAUUUACCAUGUAAUCGAGUUAGUUUUGUUAGGGUUUGAUCCCUAGUAUCCACUAUGUUCUAAGAUUGAUGUUGCUAUGAUUUUGCCAUGCUUAAUGCUUGUCACUAGGGUCCAAGUGCCAUGAUUUCAGAUCUGAACCUAUUAUGUUUUCAUGAAUAUAUGAGUGUCCUUGAUACUAUCUUGCAAGUUAUAGUCACCUACUACGUGUUAUGAUCCAGCAAGCCCCGGAGUGACAAUAGUCGGGACACUUCCCGGUGAUGACCGUAGUUUGAGAAGUUCAUGUAUUCACUAAGUGCUAAUGCUUUGGUCCGGUUCUCUAUUAAAAGGAGGCCUUAAUAUCCCUUAGUUUCCAAUAGGACCCGCUGCCACAGGAGGGUAGGACAAAAGAUGUCAUGCAAGUUCUUUCCCAUAAGCACGUAUGACUAUAUUUAGAAUACAUGCCUACAUUAUAUUGAAUAACUGGAGCUAGUUCUGUGUCACCCUAUGUUAUAACUGUUGCAUGAUGAAUGCCAUCUGACAUAAUUAUCCAUCAUUGAUCCAUUGCCUACGAGCUUUUCAUAUAUUGAUCUUUGCUAAGUUACUUCUCCGUUGCCACUGUUACGAUUGCUACAAAACUGCUACUGUUACUUUUGCCACUGUUACCGUUGUUUCCAUACUAGUUUGCUACUAAAUACUUUGCUGCAGAUAUUAAGUCUUUCAGGUGUGGUUGAAUUGACAACUCAGCUGCUAAUACUUGAGAAUAUUCUUUGACUCUCCUUGUGUCGAAUCAAUAAAUUUGGGUUGAAUACUCUACCCUCGAGAACUAUUGCGAUCCCCUAUACUUGUGGGUUAUUAAGACUUUUUUCUGGCGCCGUUGCCGGGGAGCAUAGCUCUGUUCUUUGAGUCACUUGGGAUUUAUAUCUGUUGAUCACUAUGAGGAAUUUGAAAGAUCAAAGAACCCAGAUUUUUCCCUCAACUACGAGGGGAGGUAAGGAACUGCCAUCUAGCUCCGCACUUGAUUCACCUUCUGUUUUGAGUAAACUUGCGACACCUACACCUGCUAUUGAUUCUGAUAUGUCGCAUGUUAUUGAUGAUGCCACUUCUGCUAUGCAUGAUGCUUAUGAUGAUAGUACUUCUCUGCUUGAUAAUACUGUGCCAUUAGGUGAAUUUCUUGAUGAACAACUUGCUAGGGUUAGAGAGAAUGAAAUUAUUGAAAUUGAUGAUAUUAAUGAAAGUGAUGAUGAAGAUUCUCCCCCUAGAUAUGAAUUUCUUGUUGUACCUGAGGGUUAUGUUAUGGAUGAAGAAACUGCUAGAGACUACCUUGCUUGCAAUGAUAGAUAUGAUCUUAAGAAACUGUUAGCUGAUACGUCCAUUUUGCAUCAUGCUUUAUAUCGAUAUUUAUUGCAUUAUGGGAUGUUACUACACAUUAUGUUACAAUACUUAUGCCUUUUCUAUCUUAUUUUACAAGGUUUACACGAAGAGGGAGAAUGCCGACAGCUGGAAUUCUAGGCUGGAAAAGGAGCAAAUAUUAGAGACCUAUCCUGCACAACUCCAAAAGUCCUGAAACUCCACAAAAGUCAGUUUUGGAAUAUAUUAAAAAUAUUGGAUGAAGAAAGCACCAGAGGGGGGCCACCCACCGUCCACGAGGGUGGAGGGCGCACCCUACCCCCCUAGGCGCGCCCCCUGUCUCGUGGGCCACCUGGCAACCCCCGAUGCCCAUCUUCUGCUAUUUGGUGUCUUUUACCCUGAAAAAAUCAUAAGGAAGCAUUCGGGAGGAAGCACCUCCGUCUCGAGGCGGAACCUUGGUGGAACCAAUCUAGGGCUCCGGCGGAGCUGUUCUGCCGGGGAAACAUCCCUCUGGGAGGGGGAAAUCAUCUCCAUCGUCAUCACCAUCGAUCCUCUCAUCGAGAGGGGGUCAAUCUCCAUCUACAUCUUCACCAGCACCAUCUCCUCUCAAACCCUAGUUCAUCUCUUGUAUCGAUCUUUGUCUCAAAACCCCAGAUUGGUACCUGUGGGUUGCUAGUAGUGUUGAUUACUCCUUGUAGUUGAUGCUAGUUGGUUUACUCGAUGGAAGAUCAUAUGUUCAGACCCUUUAUGCAUAUAAUACCCCUCUGAUUUUGAACAUGAAUAUGAUUUGUGAGUAGUUACGUUUGUUCCUGAGGACAUGGGAGAAGUCUUGUUAUAAGUAGUCAUGUGAAUUUGGUAUUCUUUCGAUAUUUUGAUGAGAUGUAUGUUGUCUUUCCUCUAGUGGUGUUAUGUGAAGUCGACUACAUGACACUUCACCGUUGUUUGGGCCUAGGGGAAGGCAUUGGGAAGUAAUAAGUAGAUGAUGGGUUGCUAGAGUGACAGAAGGUUAACCCUAGUUUAUGCGUUGCUUCGUAAGGGGCUGAUUUGGAUCCACAUGUUUCAUGCUAUGGUUAGGUUUACCUUAAUUCUUCUUUCGUAGUUGGGGAUGCUUGCGAGAGGGGUUAAUCAUAAGUGGGAUGCUUGUCCAAGGAAGGGAAGUACCCAAGCACCCGUCCACCCACAUAUCAAAUUAUCAAAGUAAUGAACGCGAAUCAUAUGAGCAUGACGAAAACUAGCUUGGCGAUAAUUCCCAUGUGUCCUCCAGAGCGCUUUGCUUUAUAUAAGAGUUUGUCCAGGCUUGUCCUUUGCUACAAAAAGGAUUGGGCCACCUUGCUGCACCUUAUUUACUUUUGUUACUUGUUACCCGUUACGAAUUAUCUUAUCACAAAACUAUUUGUUACCGAUAAUUUCAGUGCUUGCAGAGAAUACCUUACUGAAAACCACUUGUCAUUUCCUUCUACUCUUGGUUGGGUUUGACACUCUUACUUAUCAAAAGGACUACGAUAUGUCCCCUAUACUUGUGGGUCAUCAAGACUCUUUUCUGGCGCCAUUGCCGGGGAGUAAAGCGCCUUUGGUAGGUGGAAUUUGGUAAGGAAAAAUUUAUAUUGUGUGCUGAAAUUUAUUGUCACUUGUUACUAUGGAAAAUAAUCCUUUGAGGGGCUUGUUCGGGGUAUCUUCACCCUGACCAGAAGAGCAAAGAGUUGCUCCUCAACCUACUAAACUACUGAAAAUAUUCACUUUGAAAUUCCUUCGGGUAUGAUAGAUAAACUGCUAGCUAAUCCCUAUACAGGAGAUGGAACGUUACAUCCCGAUAUGCACCUAAUCUAUGUGGAUGAAGUUUGUGGAUUAUUUAAGCUUGCAGGUAUGCCCGAGGAUGUUAUCAAGAAGAAGGUCUUCCCUUUAUCUUUGAAGGGAAAGGCAUUGACAUGGUUUAGGCUAUGUGAUGAUAUUGGAUCAUGGAACUACAACCGAUUGAAAUUGGAAUUUCAUCAGAAGUUUUAUCCUAUGCAUCUGGUUCAUCAUGAUCGUAAUUAUAUAUACAAUUUUUGGCCUCGUGAAGGAGAAGUAUCGCUCAACCUUGGGGGAGGCUUAAGUCAAUGUUAUAUUCAUGCCCCAAUCAUGACCUCUCAAGAGAAAUUAUUAUUCAAAAAUUUUAUGCUCGACUUUCUCUUAAUAAUCGCUCCAUGCUCGAUACUUCUUGUACCGGUUCUUUUAUGAUGAAGACUAUUGAAUUCAGAUGGGAUUUAUUGGAAAGAAUUAAACGCAACUCUGAAGAUUGGGAACUCGACGAAGGUAAGGAGUCAGGUAUAACACCUAAGUUUGAUUGUGUUAAAUCUUUUAUGGAUACCGAUGCUUUUCGUGAAUUUAGCACUAAAUAUGGACUUGACUCUGAGAUAGUAGCUUCUUUCUGUGAAUCAUUUGCUACUCAUGUUGAUCUCCCUAAGGAUAAGUGGUUUAAAUAUCAUACUCCCAUUGAAGUAAAAGUAGUAGAACCUAUUAAAGUUGAAGAAAAGACUAUCACUUAUAAUGUUGAUCCUAUUGUUCCUACCGCUUAUAUUGAGAAACCACCCUUUCCUGUUAGAAUAAAGGAUCAUGCUAAAGCUUCAACUGUGGUUCGUAAGAAUAAUGCUAGAACACCCAUGAUACGUCUCACAUAUCUAUAAUUUUUGAUUGUUCCAUGCUAUUAUAUUACCCCUUUUGGAUGUUUAUGGGCUUUAUUUUACACAUUUAUAUCAUUUUUGGGACUAACCUACUAACCGGAGGCCCAGCCCGUAUUGUUGUUUUUUUGUGCCUAUUUUAGUAUUUCGAAGAAAAGGAAUAUCAAACGGAGUCCAAACGGAAGGAAACCUUCGGGAGCGUGAUUUUUGGAACGAACGUGAUCCGGAGAACUUGGAGUGCAAGUCAAGAAGCUUGCGAGGCGGCCAGGAGACAGGAGGGCGCGCCCACCCCCUGGGCACAUCCCUAUCUCCUGGGCCCCACAGGCGGCCACCGACGUACUUCUUCUUCCUAUAUAUACCUACGUACCCCGAAAACAUCCAGGGAGCCAACGAAACACAAUUUCCACCACCGUAACCUUCUGUAUCCGCGAGAUCCCAUCUUGGAGCCUUCGCCGGCGCUCCGCCGGAGGGGGAAUCGACCACGGAGGGCGUCUACAUCAACACCAUAGCCCCUCCGAUGAGUUGUGAGUAAUUUACCACAGACCUUCGGGUCCAUAGUUAUUAGCUACAUGGCUUCUUCUCUCUUUUUGGAUCUCAAUACAAUGUCCCCCCCCUCUCUUGUGGAGAUCUAUUCGAUGUAAACUCUUUUUGUGGUGUGUUUGUCGAGAUCCGAUGAAUUGUGGGUUUAUGAUCAAGUUUAUCUAUGAGAAAUAUUUGAAUCUCCUCUGAAUUCUUUUAUGUAUGAUUGAGUUAUCUUUGCAAGUCUCUUCGAAUUAUAAGUUUGGUUUGGCCUACUAGAUUGAUCUUUCUUGCCAUGGGAGAAGUGCUUAGCUUUGGGUUUAAUCUUGCAAUGUCCUUUCCCAGUGAUAGCAGGGGAAGCAAGGCACAUAUUGUAUUGUUGCCAUCGAGGAUAAAAAGAUGGGGUUUAUAUCAUAUUGCUUGAGUUUAUCCCUCUACAUCAUGUCAUCUUUCUUAAUGCGUUACUCUGUUCUUUAUGAACUUAAUACUCUAGAUGCAGGCAGGAGUCGGUCGAUGUGUGGAGUAAUAGUAGUAGAUGCAGGCAGGAGUCGGUCUACUUGUUGCGGACAUGAUGCCUAUAUACAUGAUCAUGCCUAGAUAAUCUCAUAAUUAUUUGCUUUUCUAUCAAUUGCUCGACAGUAAUUUGUUCACCCACCGUAAUACUUAUGCUAUCUUGAGAGAAGCCACUAGUGAAACCUAUGGCCCCCGGGUCUAUCUUUUAUCAUAUAAUCUUUCAAUCUACUUUUAUUUGCAUCUUUACUUUUUGCAUCUAUAUUAUAAAAUACCAAAAAUAUAUUUAUAUUAUCAUAUUAUCUCUAUCAGAUCUCACUUUUGCAAGUGGCCGUAGGGAUUGACAACCCCUUUAUCGCGUUGGUUGCGAGUUCUUUAUUUGUUUGUGUAGGUGCGUGGGACUUUUGAGGAGCCUCCUACUGGAUUGAUACCUUGGUUCUCAAAAACUGAGGGAAAUACUUAUGCUACUAUUGCUGCAACACCCUUUCCUCUUCAAGGAAAACCAACGCAAGCUCAAGACGUAGCAAGAAGGUUUUCUGGCACCGUUGUCGGGGAGGUCUUCACUCAAGUCAAGACAUACCAAGUACCCAUCACAAACUCAUCUCCCUCGCAUUUACAUUAUUUGCCAUUUGCCUCUCGUUUUCCUCUCCCCCACUUCAUCCUUGCCGUUUUAUUUGCCCUCUCUUUCCCAAUCUCCUCCUCUCUCUUUCGCUUGCCUUUUUUGCUCGUGUGUUAGAUCGUUUACCUUGUCAUUAUGGCUAGUCCUCCUAUCCUUGUUAUCACUCCCGAACAUGAAAUUCUCAAUUUUAAGCAAAGGGAGGGAGAGAAUUUAAAAGAUGCUUGGCAUAUAAUUUGCAAUGCUCAAAAUAGAUCUACUAGGAAGGUUUCUACUUCCGUUCUUCUUCGCAAUUUUUAUGUAGGCAUUACUCCUUGGAAUAGAUGUGUUCUUGAUACCAUUGUCGGAGGGGAUUUCUUGAGUAGCCAUACAUUUGAUGCUUAUAAUGCUAUGUUAGAUUUGUUUGGCCCACCACCUCUUUUGGUUAAUGGAACUACUUUAACUUUAGAACACGUUAUGCAACGGCUUGAGAUUAUUGAAAAUAAAAUUGCCACUGUUGAGUUGAUUGAAAAUUUGGAUAAAAAUAUUCAUAAUCACAUCACCCAAUAUGGAUCUAUGGUUGGAGUUACUUUGAAAAAUCUUAUAGAGAAAGAACCUAUAGUUAAUGAAAAAUAGAUCUAGAUUCUGCAAGAAUCGGUAAACUUGAGGAUAUCAUUACCAACUUAGGUUCCGCAUUUCUUCCAUGAAAAAUACUCCAAAACUCCCCACCAAAACUGCCAAGUUUAUUUAUGUUCCUAAAAAUAAGGGGGAAUCUUCUAGUAAAGGAGACGCGGAUCUCAAAUCCAUAAGUGUUCAUCCAAAUUGUCUCUCUAUCAUUAAGGAACCUUUUGCUACAAAUGAAUUUCUUGAAUUUUUGCCUAAAGGUUUAAGCAUUGCUAAAAAGGGAGAAACCCCUAAAGAUUAUAAGUGCUCUAUUGAGGAAUUGAGUGCCAAAGAUGGCACUACUUAGAUCUAUCUUCGCUUUUAUGCCUAGCUAGGGGCGUUAAACGAUAGCGCUAGUUGGGAGGCAACCCAAUUUUAUUUGUGUUUUUUGUUUUUGUUUCUGUUUAGUAAUAAAUUUUGCAUCUACCUCCUGUUUAGAUGUUUUUUAUGUUUUAAUUAAUGUUUGUGCCAAGUAGAACCUAUAGGACAACCUAUGAUGAUAGUUGAUUUGAUUCUGCUGAAAGAACAGAAACUUUUCACGCACGAAUUUAGUUUUGUUAAAUCACAGGAACGUGAUUUUGUGUUGAUUCUUUUUUCUACUGAUCAACAUACAAAUUUUCCAGGACUGCCUAUUUUGGUAGGAUUUUUAGAGUUCCAGAAGUUUGCGUUAGUUACAGAUUCCUAUAGACUGUUCUGUUUUUAACAGAUUCUGUUUUCGUGUGUUGUUUGCUUAUUUUGAUGCAUCUAUGGCUAGUAAAAUAGUUUAUAAACCAUAGAGAAGUUGGAAUAUAGUAGGUUUAACACCAAAAUAUAUAAAUAAUGAGUUCAUUACAGUACCUUAUGUGGUGGUUUUGUUUUCUUUCACUAACGGAGCUUAUAAGAUUUCCUGUUGAGUUUUGUGUUGUGAAGUUUUCAAGUUUUGGGUAAAGCUUUGAUGGACUAUGGAAUACGGAGUGGCAAGAGCCUAAGCUUGGGGAUGCCCAUGGCACCCCAAGAUACUCAACAAUAGCCAAAAGCCUAAGCUUGGGGAUGCCCCGGGAAGGCAUCCCCUCUUUCGUCUUUGUUCAUUGGUAACUUUACUUGGAGCUAUAUUUUUAUUUGCCACAUGAUAUGUGUUUUGCUUGCAGCGUCGUGUAUUAUAUUAGUCUUUGCUUUUUAGUUUACCACAAUCAUCCUUGCUGUACACACCUUUUGGGAGAAGCCCACUUGACUAGAAUUUGCUAGAAUACUCUAUGUGCUUCACUUAUAUCUUUUGAGAUUGAUAGUUUAUGCUCUAGUGCUUCAUUUAUACCUUUUAGAGCACGACGGUGGCUUAAUUUUGAAGAAAUUGCUAGUAUCUCAUGCUUCACUUAUAUUAUUUUGAGAGUCUUUUAGAACAGCAUGGCAUUUGCUAUGGUUACAGAUUUGGUCCUAGAAUGAUGAGCAUCCAAGUUGGGUAUAAUAAAAACUAUCAUAGGAAGUGAAUUGGAUGCUAUGAUCAAUUUGAUGUUUGAUAAUUGUUUUGAGAUAUAGAGGUAGUAAUGUUAGAGUCAUGCUAGUGGGUAAUUAUGAAAUUGAGAAAUACUUGUGUUGAAGUUGGCAAGUCCCGUAGCAUGCAGUAUGGUAAAAGUUGUGUGACAAAUUUGUUGCAUGAGGUGCUCUUUUGAUUGUCUUCCUUAUGAGUGGAGGUCGGGAUCACGCGAUGGUUAAAUCCUACCAACCCUUCCCCUAGGAGCAUGCGUAGUAGUACUUUGCUUUGAGGGCAAGUAGACUUUUGCAAUAAGUAUACGAGUUCUUUAUGACUAAUGUGAGUCCAUGGAUAUACGCACGCUCAUCCUUCCACUUUGCUAGCCUCUAUUAUACCACGCAACUUUCGCCAGUAUCAUGCACCCAUUAUUUACCUUCCUCAAAACAGCCACCAUACCUACCUAUUAUGGCAUUUCCAUAGCCAUUCCGAGAUAUAUUGCCAUGCAACUUUCCACCGUUUCGUUUAUUAUGACACGUUCCAUCAUUGUCAUAUUGCUCUUUGCAUGAUCAUGUAGUUGACAUCGUAUUUGUGGCAAGGCCACCUUCAUAAUUUUCAUACAUGUCGCUCUUGAUUCACUGCAUAUCCCGAUACACCGCCGGAGGCAUUCAUAUAGAGUCAUAUCUUGUUCUAGCUUUGAGUUGUAAUUCUUGAGUUGUAAAUCAAUAAAAGUGGGAUGAUCUUCAUUAUUAGAGCAUUGUCUCAGUGAGGAAAGGAUGAUGAAGACUAUGAUUCCCCCACAAGUCGGGAUGAGACUUCGGACAUUACAAAAAAAAAAGAGAAAGGCCAAAAAAAAAGGCCAAAGAAAAAAAAAGAAAAAAAGAAAAAAAGGAGAAAAAAUGAGAGAAAAAGAGAGAAGGGACAAUGCUACUAUCUCUUUUUCCACACUUGUGCUUCAAAGUAGCACCAUGAUCUUCAUGAUAGAGAGUCUCAUAUGUUGUCACUUUCAUAUACUAAGUGGGAAUUUUUCAUUAUAGAACUUGGCUUGUAUAUUCCAAUGAUGGGCUUCCUCAAAAUGCCCUAGGUCUUCGUGAGCAAGCGAGUUGGAUGCACACCCACUUAGUUUCUUUUGUUGAGCUUUCAUAUAUUUAUAGCUCUAGUGCAUCCGUUGCAUGGCAAUCCCUACUCACUCACAUUGAUAUCUAUUGAUGGGCAUCUCCAUAGCCCAUUGAUACGCCUAGUUGAUGUGAGACUAUCUUCUCCCUCUUUUUGUCCUCACAACCACCACCUUAUACCACCAUAGUGCUAUGUCCAUGGCUCGCGCUCAUGUAUUGCGUAAGAGUUGAAAAAGCUGAAGCGCGCUAAAAAGUAUGAACCAAUUGCUUGUCUGAAAUCGGGGUUGUGCAUGAUGGGAGUAUUUUGUGUAAUGAAAAUGAAGCAUGGCCUAACUAUAUGAUUUUUGUAGGGAUAAGCUUUCUGUGGCUAUGCUAUUUUGAUAGGACAUGAUUAUUUGUUAGUAUGAUUCAAAGCAUUAUUAUUUUAUGUUUUAUAAGCUUUUAUCUUGAAUCAUUUGGAUAUGAACUUUCAUGCCACAAUAAAGAAAAUUACAUUGAGAAUUAUGCUAGGUAGCAUUCCACAUCAAAAAUUCUAUUUUUAUCAUUUACCUACUCAAGGACGAGCAGGAAUUAAACUUGGGGAUGCUUGAUACGUCUCCAACGUAUCUAUAAUUUUUGAUUGUUCCAUGCUAUUAUAUUACCCCUUUUGGAUGUUUAUGGGCUUUAUUUUACACAUUUAUAUCAUUUUUGGGACUAACCUACUAACCGGAGGCCCGGCCCGUAUUGCUGUUUUUUUGCCUAUUUCAGUAUCUCUAAGAAAAGGAAUAUCAAACGGAGUCCAAACGGCAUGAAACCUUCGGGAGCGUGAUUUUUGGAACGAACAUGAUCUAGAGAACUUGGAGUGCAAGUCAAGAAGUUUGCGAGGCGGCCAGGAGACAGGAGGGCGCACCCACCCCCCUGGACACGCCCCUAUCUCCUCGGCCCCACAGGCGGCCACCGACGUACUUCUUCUUCCUAUAUAUACCUACGUACCCCAAAAACAUCCAGGGAGCCAACGAAACACAAUUUCCACCACUGUAACCUUCUGUAUCCGCGAGAUCCCAUCUUGGAGCCUUCACCGGCGCUCCGUCGGAGGGUGAAUCGACCAUGGAGGGCGUCUACAUCAACACCAUAGCCCCUUCGAUGAGUUGUGAGUAGUUUACCACAGACCUUCGGGUCCAUAGUUAUUAGCUAGAUGGCUUCUUCUCUCUUUUUGGAUCUCAAUACAAUGUUCUCCCCCUCUCUUCUGGAGAUCUAUUCGAUGUAAACUCUUUUUGCGGUGUGUUUGUCGAGAUCCAAUGAAUUGUGGCUUUAUGAUCAAGUUUAUCUAUGAGAAAUAUUUGAAUCUCCUCUGAAUUCUUUUAUGUAUGAUUGAGUUAUCUUUGCAAGUCUCUUCGAAUUAUCAGUUUGGUUUGGCCUACUAGAUUGAUCUUUCUUGCCAUGGGAGAAGUGCUUAGCUUUGGGUUCAAUCUUGCGGUGUCCUUUCCCAAUGACAGCAGGGGCAGCAAGGCACGUAUUGUAUUGUUGCCAUCAAGGAUAAAAAGAUGGGGUUUAUAUCAUAUUGCUUGAGUUUAUCCCUCUACAUCAUGUCAUCUUUCUUAAUGCGUUACUCUAUUCUUUAUGAACUUAAUACUCUAGAUGAAGGCAGGAGUCGGUCGAUGUGUGGAGUAAUAGUAGUAGAUGCAGGCAGGAGUCGGUCUACUUGUUGCACACGUGAUUCCUAUAUACAUGAUCAUGCCUAGAUAAUCUCAUAAUUAUUCGCUUUUCUAUCAAUUGCUCGAUAGUAAUUUGUUCACCCACCGUAAUACUUAUGCUAUCUUGAGAGAAGCCACUAAUGAAACCUAUGGCCCCCGGGUCUAUCUUUUAUCAUAUAAGCUUUCAAUCUACUUUUAUUUGCAUCUUUACUUUUUGCAUCUAUAUUAUAAAAUACCAAAAAUAUAUUUAUAUUAUCAUAUUAUCUCUAUCAGAUCUCACUUUCGCAAGUGGCCGUGAAGGGAUUGACAACCCCUUUAUUGCGUUGGUUGCGAGUUCUUUGUUUGUUUGUGUAGGUGCGUGGGACUUUUGAGGAGCAUCCUACUGGAUUGAUACCUUGGUUCUCAAAAACUGAGGGGAAUACUUACGCUACUAUUGCUGCAUCACCCUUUCCUCUUCAAGGAAAACCAACGCAAGCUCAAGACAUAGCAACCCACACCCCCUGAGCAAAUUAAAGUUGAACCUAGUAUUGCUAUGGUUAAAGAUCUCUUGGUCGAUAACAUUGAUGGGCAUGUUAUUUACUUCUGUGAUGAAGCUACUAGAAUUGCUAGACCUGAUACUAAAAAUAAACAUAGACCUGUUGUUGGCAUGCCUGUUGUUUCUGUUAAAAUAGGAGAUCAUUGUUAUCAUGUCUUACGUGAUAUGGGUGCUAGUGUGAGUGCAAUACCUCAUUCCUUAUACAAAGAAAUUAUGCAUGAUAUUGCACCUGCUGAGAUAGAAGAUAUUGAUGUUACUAUUAAGCUUGCCAAUAGAGAUACUAUUUCACCAAUUGGGAUUGUUAGAGGUGUUGAAGUCUUGUGUGGGAAAAUUAAAUACCCUACUGAUUUUCCUAUUCUUGGUUCCCCACAAGUUGACUUUUGUCCCCAUUAUAUUUGGCAGACCCUUCUUGAAUACUGUUAAUGCUAAGAUAGAUUGCGAGAAGUAUAUCAUUACUGUUGGUUUAGGGGAUAUGUCUCAUGAUUUUAAUUUCUCUAAAUUUUGUAGAAAACCCCAUGAUACAGAAUUGCCUAGUAAAGAUGAAAUUAUUGGUCUUGCUUCUAUUGUCGUGCCUCCUAAUGAUCCGUUAGAACAAUAUUUGCUCGACCAUGGAAAUGAUAUGUUUAUGAAUGAAAGAAGGGAAAUAGAUGAAUUAUUCUUUAAACAAGGACCUAUUUUGAAACACAACUUGCCUGUUGAAAUCCUAGGGGAUCCGCCUCCACCCAAGGGAGAUCCCGUGUUUGAGCUUAAACAACUACCUGAUAGUUUGAAAUAUGCUUAUCUUGAUGAAAAGAAAAUAUAUCCUGUUAUUAUUAGUGCUAACCUUUCAGAGCAUGAAGAAGAGAAAUUAUUGAAAACUCUGAAGAAGCACUGUGCUGAUAUUGGAUAUACUCUUGAUGAUCUUAAGGGCAUUAGUCCCACUCUAUGCCAGCACAAAAUAAAAUUGGAGAAAGAUGCUAAACUGGUUGUUGAUCACCAAUGACGGUUAAAUCCUAAGAUGAAAGAAGUGGUGAGAAAUGAAAUACUAAAGCUUCUGGAGGCAGGUAUAAUUUAUCUUGUUGCUGAUAGUCAGUGGUUAAGUCUUGUCCAUUGUGUCCCUAAGAAGGGAGUUAUUACUGUUGUUCCUAAUGAUAAGGAUGAAUUGAUCCCACAAAGAAUUGUUACAGGUUAUAGAAUGGUAAUUGAUUUCCGUAAAUUAAAUAAAGCUACUAGAAAAGAUCAUUACCCUCUACCUUUUAUUGAUCAAAUGCUAGAAAGACUAUCCAAACAUACACAUUUUUGCUUUCUAGAUGGUUAUUCUGGUUUCUCUCAAAUACCUCUGUCAAAAGAGGAUCAGGAUAAGACCACUUUUACUUGCCCUUUCGGUACCUUUGCUUAUAGACGUAUGCCUUUUGGUUUAUGCAAUGCACCUGCUACCUUUCAAAGAUGUAUGACUGCUAUAUUCUCUGACUUUUGUGAAAAGAUUGUUGAGGUUUUCAUGGAUGAUUUCUCCAUUUAUGGAACUUCUUUUGAUGAUUGCUUAAGCAACCUUGAUCAAGUUUUGUAGAGAUGUGAAGAAACUAAUCUUGUCUUGAGUUGGGAGAAGUGCCACUUUAUGGUUAAUGAAGGUAUUGUCUUGGGGCAUAAAAUUUCUGAAAGAGGUAUUGAAGUUGAUAAAGCUAAGGUUGAUGCUAUUGAAAAGAUGUCGUGUCCUAAGGACAUCAAAGGUAUAAGAAGUUUCCUUGGUCAUGUUGGUUUUUAUAGGAGGUUCACUAAAGACUUCUCUAAAAUUUCCAGGCCUUUGACUAACCUCUUACAAAAAGAUGUUCCUUUUGUUUUUGAUGAUGAUUGUGUAGAAGCAUUUGAAAGACUUAAGAAAGUCUUGAUUUUUGCACCUAUUGUUCAGCCACCUGAUUGGAAUUUACCCUUUGAAAUUAUGUGUGAUGCUAGUGAUUAUGCUAUAGGUGCUGUUCUAGGACAAAGAGUUGAUAAGAAAUUAAAUGUUAUCCAAUAUGCAAGUAAAACUCUAGACAGUGCCCAGAGAAAUUAUGCUACCACUGAAAAAGAAUUUUUAGCAGUUGUGUUCGCUUGUGAUAAGUUCAGACCCUAUAUUGUUGAUUCCAAAGUAACUGUUCACACUGAUCAUGCUGCUAUUAAAUAUCUGAUGGAAAAGAAGAUGCUAAGCCUAGACUUAUUAGACGGGUUCUCUUGCUACAAGAAUUUGAUUUGCAUAUUAUUGAUAGAAAGGGAGCUGAGAACCUCGUUGCAGACAACUUAUCUAGGUUAGAGAAUGUUCUUGAUGACCCACUACCUAUUAAUGAUAGCUUUCCUGAUGAACAAUUAGCUGUCAUAAACGCUUCUCGUACUUCUCCAUGGUAUGUUGAUUAUGCCAAUUACAUUGUUGCUAAAUUUAUACCACCCAGUUUCACAUACCAGAAAAAGAAAAAGUUUUUCUAUGAUUUAAGACACUACUUUUGGGAUGACCCACACCUUUAUAAAGAAGGAGUAGAUGGUGUUAUUAGACGUUGUGUACUUGAGCAUGAACAGGAACAUAUCCUAUGCAAGUGUCACUCCGAGGCUUAUGGAGGACACCAUGCUGGAGAUAGAACUGCACAUAAGGUAUUGCAAUCCGGUUUUUAUUGGCCUACUCUCUUCAAAGAUGCCCAUAAGUUUGUCUUGUCUUGUGAUGAAUGUCAAAGAAUUGGUAAUAUUAGUAGACGUCAAGAAAUUCCUAUGAAUUAUUCACUUGUUAUUGAACCAUUUGAUGUUUGGGGCUUUGAUUAUAUGGAACAUUUUCCUUCCCCUAAUGGGUAUACACAUAUUUUAGUUGCCGUUGAUUACGUUACUAAGUGGGUAGAAGCUAUUCCAACUGGUAGUGCUGAUCAUAACACCUCUAUUAAGAUGCUUAAAGAAGUUAUUAUUCCGAGGUUUGGAGUCCCUAGAUAUUUGAUGACUGAUGGUGGUUCACAUUUUAUUCAUGGUGCUUUUCGUAAAAUGCUUGCUAAGUAUGAUGUUAACCAUAUAAUUGCAUCUCCAUACCACCCUCAGUCUAGUGGUCAAGUAGAAUUGAGUAAUAGAGAGAUUAAAUUGAUUUUGCAAAGGACUAUUAAUAGAUCUAGAAAGAAUUGGUCCAAGAAACUUGACGAUGCAUUAUGGGCCUAUAGAACUGCAUAUAAAAAUCCUAUGGGUAUGUCUUUGUAUAAAAUGGUUUAUGGAAAAGCAUGUCAUUUAUCUCGCGAACUAGAACAUAAGGCAUAUUGGGCCAUUAAAGAGCUCAAUUAUGAUUUCAAACUUGCCGGUGAAAAGAGGCUAUUUGAUAUUAGCUCACUUGAUGAAUGGAGAACCCAGGCCUAUGAGAAUGCCAAAUUGUUUAAAGAAAAAGUUAAAAGAUGGCAUGGCAAAAGGAUACAAAAGCAUGAGUUUAAUGUAGGUGAUUAUGUUAUGCUAUACAACUCUCAUUUAAGAUUUUUUGCAGGAAAACUUCUUUAUAAAUGGGAAGGUCCUUACAUUAUCGAGGAGGUCUAUCGUUCCGGUGCCAUAAAAUCAACAACAUCGAAGGCACAAAUCCGAUGGUGGUGAACGGUCAAAGAAUCAAACGUUAUAUCUCAGGCACUAUUGAUCUCACAUAAUCCCAUAAAUGUUGAAACCAAUGUUAUUGACACCGUAACCCUGGAGGAGUACAUAAGGGACACUUCCCAGAAUGUUUUAGACUCCGAAAAGGAAUAGGUAUGUGGUACGAUAAGUAAACCGACUCCAAAACAGUUCUAAUAGCAUUUUUUCUCCAUUUUGGAAUAUUUAAAAAAAUAGGAAAAUAAGAAGCAGUCUGAAGGAGACACGGGGCAUCCACGAUGGUGGAGGGCGCGCCCUACCCCCUGGGCACGCCCCCUGCCUCGUGGACACCCCGUGUGCCCUCCGGACUCAGUUUUCUUGCACGAUGCUUCUUUUGGUCGGUAAAAAUUCAUUAUAUAAUCUCUCGAAGAUUUUGACCACCGUACCACGACGAAAUCCUCUAUUUUUGUUUUGAGCUCUUUUCUGCCAGAGUUUCUCAAGGUCAGGCAUCAUGUCACCCCCCUCCUCCAACAACGUGGGCGAUAAUGCUUGGCUAAUGAAGAUAGAGACAAAGCAAUAAGAAAUUGGGGAAAUCAAGGAAGGUGACAAGAUCAAGGAAGCCGUAGAGGAGCAAGUCCCGGCAGUAGAAGAAGAAGGCUUCUUUCAACCUUACUACAAUCAUCUCACCUCUACUGAAAUUGAAGCUUUCAAGAUGAUUGAGCUAGUUCACAUACAAAACAAGUAUCUCACACAUGAAAAUAUUUUGUUGCAAGAGCAUAUCACCGAACUCAAGGGCAUCAUCCGCAAGUUGGAGGAUCUCCUACGCUCGAUGUGCGACAUCCCGUCAUCAACAACUCCAUCAUCACCACCUCCGAAGAAAGAGACAUAAAUACAUGGGUAUGGGCACUCCCCUUGGCAACUGCCAAGCUUGGGAGAGGUGCCCCGGUAUAGUAUCACCAUCACACUUCUAUACCGUUUUCUUAGUUUGAUCCUUUUGGUUAUAUCUUGAUCUAGUAGAAUAAAGUUUUAGUAUGAUCUAGUUUUGAGUUUGGUUUUGAUCUCUAUCUAUGUAAUCGAGUCCGUGAGCUAUAUAUAUAAUAAAGAUUAGUUUUGAGUUGAGGGCCUUUUCUAUCUUGCUAUGAUCUUGAGGGAAUAAAAGAAAAAUGAUAAUAAAAAAGAGAUCAUAUUGAUCUUAUGGAGAGUAAUGACUUCACAUAUAAAGAGUAUGAUGAAUAAAAGUUGUUGAGAGUUGAUAAACAUAGUUUUGGUCAUCGUUGCAAUUAAUAGGAAGUAGAGAGCUUUUCACAUAUAAAUAUACUAUCUUGGACAUAUUUUAUGAUUGUGAGCACUCAUCAAAAUAUGACAUGCUAAAAAGUUGAUGUUGGACAAGGAAGACAAUGUAAUGGGUUAUGUAUUCUUAUAUCUGAAAUAAAUUAUAUGUCAUGGAUCAUCCAACAUGUUGAGCUUGCCUUCCCCCCCUCAUGCUAGCCAAAUUCUUUGCACCAAGUAGAGACACUACUUGUGCUUCCAAACAUCCCUAUACCCAGUUUUGCCAUGAGAGUCCACCAUACCUACCUAUGGAUUGAGUAAGAUCCUUCAAGUAAGUUGUCAUCGGUGCAAGCAAUAAAAAUUGCUCUCUAAAUAUGUAUGAUCUAUUAGUGUGGAGAAAAUAAGCUUUAUACAAGCUUGUGAUAUGGAAGAAAUAAAAGCGACGGACUGCAUAAUAAAGGUCCCUAUCACAAGUGGCAAUAUAAAGUGACGUUCUUUUGCAUUAAAAUUUUGUGCAUCCAACCAUAAAAGUGCACGACAACCUCUGCUUCACUCUGCGAAGGGCCUAUCUUUUAUUUUUAUCUUCUACCUUAUACAAGAGUCAUGGUGAUCUUCACCUUUCCUUUUUACACUUUAUCCUUUGGCAAGCACUAUGUGUUGGAAAGAUCCUGAUAUAUAUAUCCACUUGGAUAUAGGUUUUCAUAUAUUAUUAUUGUUGACAUUACCCUUGAGGUAAAAGGUUGGGAGGCGAAACUAUAAGCCCCUAUCUUUCUCUGUGUCCGAUUGAAACUUCAUACCCAUAAGUAUCACGUGAGUGUUAGCAAUUGUGAAAGACUAAAUGAUAGUUGAGUAUGUGGACUUGCUGAAAAGCUCUUACAUUGGCUCUUUCCGAUGUUAUGAUAAAUUGCAAUUGCUUCAAUGAGUGAGAUCAUAGUUUGUUAGUUUUCAAUGAAGUUUCUGAUUCAUACUUUACAGUGUGAAUAGAUUGUUACUUUAGCAUAAGAAAUAAUAUGACAAUAUAUAUAUGUUGCUGUUCUAAGAAUGAUCAUGAUGCCCUCAUGUCCGUAUUUUAUUUUAUCGACACCUUUAUCUCUAAACUUGUGGACAUAUUUUUCGAUAUCGGCCUUUGCUUGAGGACAAGCGAGGUCUAAGCUUGGGGGAGUUUAUAUGUCCAUUUUGCAUCAAGCUUUUAUAUUGAUAUUAGUUGCAUUAUGGGCUGUUACUACACAUUAUGUCACAAUACUUAUGCCCUUUCUCUCUUAUUUUAUAAGGUUUACACAAAGAGGGAGAAUGCCGACAACUGGAAUUCUGGGCUGGAAAAGGAGCAAAUAUUAGAGACCUAUUCUGCACAACUCCAAUAGUCCUGAAACUCCACGAAAGUCACUUUUGGAAUAUAUUAAAAAUAUUGGGCAAAGAAAGCACCAGAGGGGGGGGGGGGCACCCACCGUCCACGAGGGUGGAGGGCGCGCCCAACCCCCUGGGUAUGCCCCCUGCCUCAUGGGCAACCUGGCAACCCCCCGAUGCCCAUCUUCUGCUAUAUGGUGUCCUUUGCCAUGAAAAAAAAUCAUAAGGAAGCUUUCGGGACGAAGCGCCGCCGUCUCGAGGUGGAACCUUGGCGGAACCAAUCUAGGGCUCCAACAGAGCUGUUCUGCCGGGGAAACAUCCCUCUGGGAGGGGGAAAUCGUCGCCAUCAUCAUCACCAUCAAUCCUCUCAUCGAGAGGGGGUCAAUCUCCAUCAACAUCUUCACCAGCACCAUCUCCUCUCAAACCCUAGUUCAUCUCUUGUAUCCGAUCUUUGUCUCAAAACCUCAGAUUGGUACCUGUGGUAGUGUUGAUUACUCCUUGUAGUUGAUGCUAGUUGGUUUAUUCGAUGGAAGAUCAUAUGUUUAGAUACUUUAUGCAUAUUAAUACCCCUAUGAUUUUGAACAUGAAUAUGAUUUAUGAGUAGUUACGUUUGUUCCUGAGGACAUGGGAGAAGUCUUGUUAUAAGUAGUCAUGUGAAUUUGGUAUUCGUUCGAUAUUUUGAUAAGAUGUAUGUUGUCUUUCCUCUAGUGAUGUUAUGUGAAUGUCGACUACAUGACACUUCACCAUUGUUUGGGCCUAGGGGAAGGCAUUGGGAAGUAAUAAGUAGAUGAUGGGUUGCUAGAGUGACAGGAGCUUAAACCCUAGUUUAUGUGUUGCUUUGUAAGGGGCUGAUUUGGGUCCACAUGUUUCAUGCUAUGUUUAGGUUUACCGUAAUUCUUCUUUCGUAGUUGCGGAUGCUUGCAAGAGGUUAAUCAUAAGUGGGAUGCUUGUCCAAGGAAGGGCAGUACCCAAGCACCGGUCCACCCACAUAUCAAAUUAUCAAAGUAAUGAACGCGAAACAUAUGAGCAUGACGAAAGCUAGCUUGACGAUAAUUCCCAUGUGUCCUCGGGAGCGCUUUGCUUUAUAUAAGAGUUUGUCCAGGCUUGUCCUUUGCUACAAAAAGGAUUGGGACACCUUGUUGCACCUUAGUUACUUUUGUUACUUGUUACCUGUUACAAAUUAUCUUUUCACAAAACUAUCUGUUACCGAUAAUUUCAGUGCUUGCAAAGAAUACCUUACUUAAAACCGCUUGUCAUUUCCUUCUGCUCCUCGCUGGGUUCGACACUCUUACUUAUUGAAAGGACUAUGAUAGAUCCCCUAUACUUGUGGGUCAUCAUUAGCUAAGCUGAAAGAAAAGUCUUUGAAUACUAGAAUGCAAUAAGACCCUGCUUUUGCUUUACUGAUAAGGAUUAUGAAUUCUUUGUCAAUCCUAGUGAAUUACUUUGGUUGAAUCUGAUCCUUUCUAUGGCUAUGAAUCUGAAACUGUUGUGGCACAUCUUACUAAACAAAAUGAUAUAGCCACCCUAUUUACUCAUGAGGAAAAAAUUCGCUAUUACUAUAUCAUUAAAUUGUUUCCUUUCUCAUUAAAGGGUGAUGAUAAAAUAUAGUUUAAUUCUCUUACUCCUGGUUGUGUGCGUAGUCCACAGGAUAUGAUUUAUUACUUUUUUGCAAAAUAUUUCCCUGCUCAUAAGAAACAAGCUGCCUUGCGGGAAAUAUUUAAUUUUGUGCAAAUUGAAGAAGAGAGUCUCCCACAAGCUUGGGGGAGGCUUCUCCGAUUACUUAAUGCUUUGCCUGAUCAUCCUCUCAGGAAAAAUGAAAUACUUGAUAUCUUUUAUAAUGGACUAAUCGAUGCUUCCAGAGACCACCUGGAUAGUUGUGCUGGUUGUGUUUUUAGGGAAAGAACUGUUGGGCAAGUUGAAUUGCUAUUGAGUAAUAUAUUGAGUAAUGAUACUGAUUGGAAAUUUCCUGAACCAACUCCUAAGCCAACUCCAAAGAAAAGGGGUAUUCUAUUUCUCAGUCCUGAAGAUAUGCAAGAGGCAAAGAAAUCUAUGAAAGAAAAAGGUAUUAACGUUGGAGAUGUUAAGAAUUUACCACCUAUUGAAGAAAUACUGUUGGGGAACGUAGCAGAAAUUCAAAAUUUUCCUACGCGUCACCAAGAUCUAUCUAUGGAGAGACUAGCAACGAGGGGAAGGAGAGUGCAUCUACAUACCCUUGUAGAUCGCUAAGCGGAAGCGUUCAAGUGAACGGGGGUGAUGGAGUCGUACUCGUAGUGAUUCAGAUCACCGAUGAUCCUAGUGCCGAACGGACGGCACCUCCGCGUUCAACACACGUACAGCUCGACGAUGUCUCCCACGCCUUGAUCCAGCAAGGAGAGAGGGAGAGGUUGAGGAAGACUCCAUCCAGCAGCAGCACAACGGCGUGGUGGUGAUGGAGGAGCGUGGCAAUCCUGCAGGGCUUCGCCAAGCACCUACGGGAGAGGAGGAGGUGUCACGGGAGGGAGGGAGGCGCCAGGGGCUCAGGUAUCGAUGCCCUCCCUCCCCUCCACUAUAUAUAGGGGCAGGGGAGAGGGGGGAGGCGCAGCCUUGCCCCUUCCUCCAAGGAAGGGGUGCGGCUAAGAGGGGGAAAGGAGUCCAUCCUCCCCAAGGCACCUCGGAGGUGCCUUCCCCCUUUAGGACUCUCCCCUUUUUCCUAUAUCUUGGCGCAUGGGCCUCUAGGGGCUGCUGCCCUUGGCCCAUGUAGGCCAAGGCACACCCCCUACAGCCCAUGUGGCCCCCCGGGGCAGGUGGCCCCACCCGGUGGGCCCCCGGGACCCUUCCGGUGGUCCCGGUACAAUAUCGAUGACCCCGAAACUUGUCCCGAUGGCCGAAACAGGACUUCCUAUAUAUAAAUCUUUACCUCCGGACCAUUCCGGAACUCCUCAUGACGUCCGGGAUCUCAUCCGGGACUCCGAACAACAUUCGGUAACCACAUACAAACUUCCUUUAUAACCCUAGCGUCAUCGAACCUUAAGUGUGUAGACCCUACGGGUUCGGGAGACAUGCAGACAUGACCGAGAUGUUCUCCGGUCAAUAACCAACAGCGGGAUCUGGAUACCCAUGUUGGCUCCCACAUGUUCCACGAUGAUCUCAUUGGAUGAACCACGAUGUCAUGGACUCAAUCGAUCCCGUAUACAAUUCCCUUUGUCUAGCGGUAUGGUACUUGCCCGAGAUUCGAUCGUCGAUAUACCGAUACCUUGUUCAAUCUCGUUACCGGCAAGUCUCUUUACUCGUUCCGUAACACAUCAUCCCGUGAUCAACCCCUUGGUCACAUUGUGCACAUUAUGAUGAUGUCCUACCGAGUGGGCCCAGAGAUACCUCUCCGUUUACCGUUUACACGGAGUGACAAAUCCCAAUCUCGAUUCGUGCUAACCCAACAGACACUUUCAGAGAUACCCGUAGUGUACCUUUAUAGCCACCCAGUUACGUUGUGACGUUUGGCACACCCAAAGCACUCCUAUGGUAUCCGGGAGUUGCACAAUCUCAUGGUCUAAGGAAAUGAUACUUGACAUUAGAAAAGCUUUAGCAUACGAACUACAUGAUCUUGUGCUAGGCUUAGGAUUGGGUCUUGUCCAUCACAUCAUUCUCCUAAUGAUGUGAUCCCGUUAUCAACGACAUCCAAUGUCCAUGGUCAGGAAACCGUAACCAUCUAUUGAUUAACGAGCUAGUCAACUAGAGGCUUACUAGGGACAUGGUGUUGUCUAUGUAUCCACACAUGUAUCUGAGUUUCCUAUCAAUACAAUUCUAGCAUGGAUAAUAAACGAUUAUCAUGAACAAGGAAAUAUAAUAAUAAUCAAUUUAUUAUUGCCUCUAGGGCAUAUUUCCAACAGUCUCCCACUUGCACUAGAGUCAAUAAUCUAGUUCACAUCGAUAUGUGAUUAACACUCAAGAUCACAUCCCCAUGUGACUAACACCCAAAGAGUUUACUAGAGUCAAUAAUCUAGUUCACAUUUACCAUGUGAUUAACACUCGAUGAGUUCUGGGUUUGAUCAUGUUAUGCUUGUGAGAGAGGUUAUAGUCAACGGGUCUGAACCUUUCAGAUCCGUGUGUGCUUUACAAAUCUCUAUGUCAUCUCCUAGAUGCAGCUACCACGUUCUAUUUGGAGCUAUUCCAAAUAACUGUUCUACUUGGAGCUAUUCUAAAUUGUUGCUCCAUUAUACGUAUCCGGUAUCUCUACUCAGAGCUAUCCGGAUAGGUGUUAAGCUUGCAUCGACGUAACCCUUUACAACGAACCCCUUUACCACCUCCAUAAUCGAGAAAAUUCCUUAGUCCACUAGUUACUAAGGAUAACUUUGACCGCUGUCCCGUGAUCCAUUCUUGGAUCACUCUUGUACCCCUUGACUGACUCAUGGCAAGGCACACUUCAGGUGCGGUACACAGCAUAGCAUACUGUAGAGCCUACGUCUUAUGCAUAGGGGACGACCUUAGUCCUUUCUCUCUAUUCUGCCAUGGUCGAGCUUUAAGUCUUAACUUCAUACCUUACAACUCAGGUAAGAACUCCUUCUUUGACUGAUCCAUCUUGAACACCUUCAAGAUCAUGUCAAGGUAUGUGCUCAUUUGAAAGUACCAUUAAGCGUUUUAAUCUAUCCUUAUAGAUCUUGAUGCUCAAUGCUCAAGCAGCUUAAUCCAGGCUUUUCCAUUGAAAAAUACUUUCCAAAUAACCCUUUAUGCUUUCCAGAAAUUCUACGUCAUUUCCGAUCAUUAAUAUGUCAACAACAUAUACUCAUCAGAAAUUCUAUAGUGCUCCCACUCACUUCUUUGGAAAUACAAGUUUCUCAUAAACUUUGUAUACACCCAAAAUCUUUGAUCAUCAUCAAAACAUACAUUCCAACUCCGAGAUGCUCACUCUAGUCCUCAGAAGGAUUGCUAGAGCUUUGCAUACUUAUUAGCAUAUUUCAGGAUGGACAAAACCUUCCGGUUGUAUCACAUACAACCUUUCCUCAAAAAUCGUCGAGGAAACAAUGUUUUGACAUCCUAUCUGCAAGAUUUCAUAAAUAAUGCAGUAAUUGCUAAUAUAAUUCCAACAGACUCUUAGCAUCGCUACGAGUGAGAAAGUCUCAUCGUAGUCAACUCCUUGAACUUGUCGAAAAACAUCUUAACGACAAGUCGAGCUUUCUCAAUGGUGACACUUACCAUCAUUGUUUGUCUUCCUUUCAAAAUCCAUCUGCACUCAACAGCCUUACGACCAUCGAGUUGUUCUGCCAAAGUCUACACUUUGUUUUCAUACAUGGAUCCUAUCUCGGAUUUUAUGGCUUCUAACCAUUUGUCGGAAUUUGGGCCCACCAUCGCUUCUCCAUAGCUCGUAGGUUCAUUGUUGUCUAGCAACAUGACCUUCAAGACAGGAUUACUGUACCACUCUGAAGUAGUACGUAUCCUUGUCACCCUACGAGGUUCGGUAGUGACUUGAUCCGAAACUUCAUGAUCACUAUCAUAAGCUUCCACUUCAAUUGGUGUAGGUGCCACAAGAACAACUUCCUGUGCCCUGCUACACACUUGUUGAAGUGACGGUUCAAUAACCUCAUCAAGUCUCCACCAUCCUCCCACUCAAUUCUUUCGAGAGAAACUUUUCCUCGAGAAAGGACCCGAUUCUAGAAACAAUCCCUUAUUGCUUUCGAAUCUGAGACAGGAGGUAUACCCAACUGUUUUGGGUGUCCUAUGAAGAUGCAUUUAUCCGCUUUGGGUUCGAGCUUAUCAGCCUGAAACCUUUCCACAUAAGCAUCGCAGCCCCAAACUUCUAAGAAAUGACAGCUUAGGUUUCUCUAAACCAUAAUUCAUACGGUGUCAUCUCAACGGAAUUAUGUGGUGCCCUAUUUAAAGUGAAUUUGGUUGUCUCUAAUGCCUAACCCAUGAACGAUAGUGGUAAUUCGAUAAGAGACAUCAUGGUACGCACCAUAUCCAAUAGGGUGCAACUAUGAUGUUCGGACACACCAUCACACUAUGGUGUUCUAGGCGGUAUUAAUUGCGAAACAAUUUCCACAAUGUCUUAAUUGUGUGCCAAAACUCGUAACUCAGAUAUUCAUCUCUAUGAUCAUAUCAUAGACAUUUUAUCCUCUUGUCACAAUGAUCUUCUACUUCACUCUGAAAUUAUUUGAACCAUUCAAUAAUUCAGACUUGUGUUUCAUCAAGUAAAUAUUCUCAACAUCUACUCGAAUCAUCUGUGAAGUAAGAACAUAACGAUAUUCACUGCAUGCCUCAGCACUCAUUGGACUGCACACAUCAAAAUGUGUUACUUCCAACAAGUUGCUAUCUUGUUCCAUCUUACUGAAAACGAGGCUUUUCAGUCAUCUUGCCCAUGUGGUAUGAUUUGCAUGUCCCAAGUGAUUCAAAAUCAAGUGAGUCAAAAUGGUCCAUUUGCAUGGAGUUUCUUCAUGCAUAUACACCAAUAGACAUGGUUCGCAUGUCUCAAACUUUUCAAAAACGAGUGAGCCCAAAGAUCCACCAAUAUGGAGCUUCUUCAUGCGUUUUAUACCGAUAUGACUUACGUGGCAGUGCCACAAGUAGGUGGUACUAUCAUUACUAUCUUUUGGCAUGAACAUGUGUAUCACUACGAUCGAGAUUUAAUAAACCAUUCAUUUUAGGUGUAAGACCAUUGAAGGUAUUAUUCAAAUAAACAGAGUAACCAUUAUUCUCCUUAAAUGAAUAACCGUAUUGCGAUAGACGUAAUCCAAUCAUGUCUAUGCUCAACGCAAACACCAAAUAACAAUUAUUUAGGUUUAACACCAAUCUCUUUGGUAGAGGGAGCGUCCGAUGCUUGAUCAUAUCAAGCUUGGAAAAACUUCCAACACAUAUCGUCAGCUCACCUUUAGCUAGUCUCCGUUUAUUCCGUAGCCUUUUGUUUCGAGUUACUAACACUUAGCAACCGAACCGGUAUCUAAUACCCUGGUGCUACUAGGAGUACUAGCAAAGUACACAUUAACACAAUGUAUAUCCAAUAUACUUCUAUCGACCUUGCCAGCCUUCUUAUCUACCAAGUAUCUAGGGUAAUUCUGCUCUAGUGGUUGUUCCCCUUAUUACAGAAGCACUUAGUCUCGGGUUUGGGUUUUACCUUGGGUUUCUUCACUAGAGCAGCAGCUGAUUUGCCGUUUCAUGAAGUAUCCCUUCUUGCCCUUGCCCUUCUUGAAACUAGUGGUUUCACCAACCAUCAACAAUUGAUGCUCCUUCUUGAUUUCUACUUUCGCGGUGUCAAACAUUGCGAAUACCUCAAGGAUCAUCAUAUCUAUCCCUGAUAUGUUAUAGUUCAUCACGAAGCUCUAACAGCUUGGUGGCAAUGACUUUGGAGAACCAUCACUGUCUUAUCUGGAAGAUCAACUCCCACUCGAUUCAAAUGAUUGUUGUACUCAGACAAUCUGAGCACAAGCACAACAAUUGAGCUUUUCUCCUUAGUUUGCAGGUUAAGAAAGUCAUCGGAGGUCUUAUACCUCUUGACAUGGGCACGAGCCUGAAAUCCCAAUUUCAGCCCUCAAAACAUCUCAUAUGUUUCGCGAUGUUUCAAAAACGUCUUUUGUGCCUCAACUCUAAACCGUUUAACUGAACUAUCACAUAGUUAUCAAAACGUGUAUGUCAGAUGUUCGCAACAACCAUAGACAACGUUCGAGGUUCAGCACACUGAGCGGUGCAUUAAGGACAUAAGCCUUCUAUGAAGCAAUGAGGACAAUCCUCAGUUUACGGACCUAGUCCGCAUAAUUGCUACUAUCAACUUUCAACUAAUUUUUCUCUAGGAACAUAUCUAAACAGUAGAACUAUAGCGUGAGCUACGACAUAAUUUGCAAAAACCUUUUGACUAUGUUCAGGAUAAUUAAGUUCAUCUUAUGAACUCCCACUCAGAUAGACAUCCCUCUAGUCAUCUAAGUGAUUACAUGAUCCGAGUCAAACUAGGCCGUGUCCGAUCAUCACGUGAGACGGACUAGUCAUCAUCGGUGAACAUCUUCAUGUUGAUCGUAUCUUCUAUACGACUCAUGUUCGACCUUUCGGUCUCCGUGUUCCGAGGCCAUGUCUGUACAUGCUAGGCUCGUCAAGUUAACCCUAAGUGUUUCGCGUGUGUAAAGCUGUCUUACACCCGUUGUAUGUGAACGUUAGAAUCUAACACCCGAUCAUCACGUGGUGCUUCGAAACACGAACUGUCGCAACGGUGCACAGUUAGGGGAGAACACUUCUUGAAAUUGUUGUAAGGGAUCAUCUUAUUUACUACCGUCGUUCUAAGCAAAUAAGAUGUAUAAACAUGAUAAACAUCACAUGCAAUCAAAUAGUGACAUGAUAUGGCCAUCAUCACUUUGCUCCUUUUGAUCUCCAUCUUCGGGGCUCCAUGAUCAUCAUCGUCACCGGCAUGACACCAUGAUCUCCAUCAUCAUGAUCUCCAUCAUCGUGUCUUCAUGAAGUUGCCUCGCCAACUAUUACUUCUACUACUAUGACUAACGGUUAGCAAUAAAGUAAAGUAAUUACAUGACGUUUUAAGUUGACACGCAGGUCACAAAUAAAUAAAGACAACUCCUAUGGCUCCUGCCGGUUGUCAUACUCAUCGACAUGCAAGUCGUGAUUCCUAUUACAAGAACAUGAUCAAUCUCAUACAUCACAUAUAUCAUUCAUCACAUCCUUUGGCCAUAUCACAUCACAUAGCAUACCCUGCAAAAACAAGUUAUACGUCCUCUAAUUGUUGUUUGCAUGUUUUACGUGGCUGCUAUGGGUUUCUAGCAAGAACGUUUCUUACCUACGCAUGAACCACAAAGUGAUAUGCCAAUUGCUAUUUACCCUUCAUAAGGACCCUUUUCAUCGAAUCCGAUCCGACUAAAGUGGGAGAGACAGACACCCGCCAGCCACCUUAUGCAACUAGUGCAUGUUUGUCGGUGGAACCGGUCUCACGUAAGCGUACGUGUAAGGUUGGUCCGGGCCGCUUCAUCCCACGAUGCCGCCGAAUCAAGAUAAGACUAGUAACGGCAAGCAUAUUGAACAAUAUCGACGCCCACAACUACUUUGUGUUCUACUCGUGCAAAGAAUCUAUGCAAUAGACCUAGCUCAUGAUGCCACUGUUGGGGAACAUAGCAGAAAUUCAAAAUUUUCCUACGCAUCACCAAGAUCUAUCUAUGGAGAGACUAGCAACAAGGGGAAGGAGAGUGCAUCUACAUACCCUUGUAGAUCGCUAAGCGGAAGCGUUCAAGUGAACGGGGUUGAUGGAGUCGUACUCGUCGUGAUUCAGAUCACCGAUGAUCCUAGUGCCGAACGGACGGCACCUCCGCGUUCAACACACGUACAGCUCGACGAUGUCUCCCACGCCUUGAUCCAGCAAGGAGAGAGGGAGAGGUUGAGGAAGACUCCAUCCAGUAGCAGCACAACGGCGUGGUGGUGAUGGAGGAGCGUGGCAAUCCUGCAGGGCUUCGCCAAGCACCUACGGGAGAGGAGGAGGUGUCACGGGAGGGAGGGAGGCGCCAGGGGCUCAGGUAUGGAUGCCCUCCCUCCCCUCCACUAUAUAUAGGGGCAGGGGAGAGGGGGGAGGCGCAGCCUUGCCCCUUCCUCCAAGGAAGGGGUGCGGCUAAGAGGGGGAAAGGAGUCCAUCCUCCCCAAGGCACCUCGGAGGUGCCUUCCCCCUUUAGGACUCUCCCCUUUUUCCUAUAUCUUGGCGCAUGGGCCUCUAGGGGCUGCUGCCCUUGGCCCAUGUAGGCCAAGGCGCACCCCCUACAGCCCAUGUGACCCCCCGAGGCAGGUGGCCCCACCCGGUGGGCCCCCGGGACCCUUCCGGUGGUCCCGGUACAAUAUCGAUGACCCCGAAACUUGUCCCGAUGGCCGAAACAGGACUUCCUAUAUAUAAAUCUUUACCUCCGGACCAUUCCGGAACUCCUCGUGACGUCCGGGAUCUCAUCCGGGACUCUGAACAACAUUCGGUAACCACAUACAAACUUCCUUUAUAACCCUAGCGUCAUCGAACCUUAAGUGUGUAGACCCUACGGGUUCGGGAGACAUGCAGACAUGACCGAGAUGUUCUCCGGUCAAUAACCAACAGCGGGAUCUGGAUACCCAUGUUGGCUCCCACAUGUUCCACGAUGAUCUCAUCGGAUGAACCAUGAUGUCAAGGACUCAAUCGAUCCCGUAUACAAUUCCCUUUGUCUAGCGGUAUGGUACUUGCCCGAGAUUUGAUCAUCGGUAUACCGAUACCUUGUUCAAUCUCGUUACCGGCAAGUCUCUUUACUCGUUCCGUAACACAUCAUCCCGUGAUCAACCCCUUGGUCACAUUGUGCACAUUAUGAUGAUGUCCUACCGAGUGGGCCCAGAGAUACCUCUCCGUUUACACGGAGUGACAAAUCCCAAUCUCGAUUCGUGUCAACCCAACAGACACUUUCAGAGAUACCCGUAGUGUACCUUUAUAGCCACCCAGUUACGUUGUGACGUUUGGCACACCCAAAGCACUCCUACGGUAUCCGGGAGUUGCACAAUCUCAUGGUCUAAGGAAAUGAUACUUGACAUUAGAAAAGCUUUAGCAUACGAACUACAUGAUCUUGUGCUAGGCUUAGGAUUGGGUCUUGUCCAUCACAUCAUUCUCCUAAUGAUGUGAUCCCGUUAUCAACGACAUCCAAUGUCCAUGGUCAGGAAACCGUAACCAUCUAUUGAUUAACGAGCUAGUCAACUAGAGGCUUACUAGGGACAUGGUGUUGUCUAUGUAUCCACACAUGUAUCUGAGUUUCCUAUCAAUACAAUUCUAGCAUGGAUAAUAAACGAUUAUCAUGAACAAGGAAAUAUAAUAAUAAUCAAUUUAUUAUUGCCUCUAGGGCAUAUUUCCAACAAAUACAUGGUCUUGAUAACCUGACACGGGUAGUAAAGGUAAAUUCUCUCUAUAGAUUUUAUAAGGGUGAAAUCCCAUCUACUAAGUUUGCUAGUCAAUGCUUGGAUGAGUUUGAUAAUUUUAUUGUUAAGCAAGAAGACUUCAAUGCUUAUUUUGAUAGACAAUUGAAACGUAGUGCUUAUAUGGUUGAACACUUGAGUGAUUAUAUGUCUAGAGUUAAGGGUGAUCUUAAGCUUAUUAGUAAACAUGCUUCCAUGGUUACCACUAAAAUAGAACAACUACGUAAGGCACAAGAUGAUUUGCUCAAUGAAUUAAAUAAUAAGAAUAAUGAUAAUGUUGUUAGAGUUAUGACUAGAGGUGGUAAGAUGACCGCGGAACCUUUGUAUCCUGAGGGCCAUCCUAAGAGAGUUGAGCAAGAUUCUCAGAGAACUAAUAUAGAUGCACCUAGUCCUUUUAAGAAAAAUAAAAAGAAUAAGGAUAGGACUUUGCAAGCUUCUAGUGAACCUGUCGUUGACACACCUGAGAAUCCCAAUGAUAUUUCUAUUUCUCAUGCUGAAACACAAUCUGGUGAUGAACAUGAACCUAGUGAUAAUGUUAAUGAUGAUGUUCAUAUUGAUGCUCAACCUAGCAAUAACAAUGAUGUAGAGAUCGAACCCGCUAUUGAUCUUGAUAACCCACAAUCAAAGAAUCAACGUUAUGAUAAGAGAGACUUCGUUGCUAGGAAGCACGGUAAAGAAAGAGAACCAUGGGUUCAGAAACCCAUGCAUUUUCCUCCUAAGCCAUCCAAGAAAAAGGAUGAUGAGGAUUUUGAGCACUUUGCUGAAAUGAUUAGACCUAUCUUUUUGCAUAUGUGUUUGACUGAUAUGCUUAAAAUGAAUCCCUAUGCUAAGUAUAUGCAAGAUAUUGUUACAAAUAAAAGAAAAAUACUGGAAGCUGAAAUUUCCACCAUGCUUGCCAACUAUACUUUUAAGGGUGGAAUACCAAAGAAACUAGGAGAUCCAGGAGUACCAACUAUACCAUGCUCCAUUAAAAGAAACUAUGUUAAAACUGCUUUAUGUGAUCUUGGAGCCGGUGUUAGUGUUAUACCUUUCUCUUUGUAUCGUAGACUUGAGUUGAAUAAGUUGGCACCUACUGAAAUCUCUUUGCAAAUGGCCGAUAAAUCAACUGCUAUACCCAUCGGUAUUUGUGAGGAUGUGCCUGUUGUGGUUGCAAACGUUACUAUCUUAACGGACUUUGUUAUUCUUGAUAUUCUCGAGGACGACAGUAUGUCGAUCAUCCUUGGUAGACCCUUUUUGAAUACUGCAGGGGCUGUUAUUGAUUGCAACAAAGGCAAUGUCACUUUUCAUGUUAAUGGUAAUGAGAAUACGGUACACUUUCCGAAGAAACAACCUCAAGUUCAUAGUAUCAAUUCUAUUGAGAAAAUUCCAACUAUUACCAUUGGAGGUUUUGAAUUCCCUCUUCCUACUGUCAAGAAGAAAUAUGAUAUUCUUAUUGUUGGGGAUAUGCGUAUCCCCGUUGAGGUAACAUAGUGUUAUUAGAAAAUUCUCCGGUUUCAUGUUAUUCGGAAGAAGUUUGUUAACAAGACUUGAUCAACCUUGUUAGUGGAUUCCUUUUGAUGAGCAUGAGAUGGAUGAAGUUAGAAAGCACAACUCUCUAUACCCUCCUUUUACUUUAUGUUAUUUAGUUUAAAUAAAACAAAAUAGUAUUUUCUGUCUAUUUUCUGAAUUAUCCAUGCAAUAAAAAAUACCCCAAAAAUAAAAGUUCUCCAAAUGCCCUGAAAAUUGAGUAUGAUUUUUUUGUAGAAUAUUUGAGAAUUUCUGGCACUUAGAACACACCAGGGGGACCCACCAUUUGGUCACGAGGGAGGAGGGCGCACCCUACCCCCCUGGGCGCGCCCUACCCCCUAGGCGCACCCCUGCCUCGUGGGCCCCACAUGCCCCCCUCCACUUAUUCUAGUACCCACACAGUUCGUCUUCCUCCAGAAAAAAUCACCCUGUAGCUCAAACCCGUGUUCUUGCUUGUUUUGCUGCCAUUUUCGAUCUCCUUGCUCAAAGCUCCAUUAACAAAACUGCUUUGGGGGAUUGUUCUUCGGUAUGUGACUCCUCCAAUGGUCUAAUUAGUUUUUGUUCUAGUGCUUUAUUUAUUACAAAUUUUUGCUGCUAAGGUGACCCUCUUCUUGAGCUUGCAUGUCAAAUUUAUAUGGUCCAAAUUAAUUUUAAUGCAUGAUAUAGCCUCUAGGAACUUGUAGGAGUAGUUUCUAUCAAUCUUGUUGAGUAUGGUUCACUUUUAUUUUGAGUCACUAAAAUUUCAGAAAUUUUUCAGAGGAAGAAAAAUGUUCAGGAAAAUGUACGAAGGUGGUUCUUCAAGGAGGCAAGCACCAAGGCUUGCGAUACGUGAGCCGGAUCUUGAACCACGAAGAGAAGCUCCAGUGCGGCCUUGCGAAUGGCCAUCAGAUGAAUUUAUGAUCCAAGCUGGCUUCAAGGAUGAAUUUGAUGAGUAUGUGCGUAAUGCUAAUCUUGAUGACUUGGUAUCAGAUAAGUGCCUCCAAUACUAUCACCUGAUUCCCUUGUGCGGAGGUUUAACUUUUCAUCUAAGUGCAACACUCACACUGUUAUAUUUGACCUAUAUGAUAAAUCAUAUACAAUGGACCUUGAAGAUUUUAACACUGCUUGUAAAAUCCCAUAGUGGGGCAUCUUUAGUGAACCUCGCAAAUCUGAAUAUAAUGAUUUCCUUGCUAGCAUCACUAUGAGAGAAACUAGAGAUAUCACACAAGCUAUCAUAGGGAGCAUUCAUUUCCCUUCCUUACAUUACUUUGCUCUCUUUAUAAGUAGAUGCAUUAACGGAAGGAUGAGAUUUUCCGCAUUUGUGUCCCAGAUCUUAGUGUCCUCAAGAGUGCGGUGCUAGGUGAUAAACGAUAUAACUUGGGGCCCAUUGUUGCACGGAGGUUACAUCUUAAUGCUAAAAAUGGAGAUUUAUUUGGUGGAAUAUCCCAGUACAACCCCGACUACAACUUUGGUUAUCCGCCAGGCCAGCCAUGGGCAUAGACCAACUUAGGCCAAAAGCCUAAGCUUGGGGGAGUACGUAUUUCUCACCGACAUUACAUUCAUGUUCACACACUCAUUCUAGCUGUCGGUGCUCAUACUUUUUCAUUGUACUAUCCAUGCUAGUUUAUUUUCUAUUCUUGCUUUCUUCUUGUGUGUUUGAAAACCCUUGAGAAAAAACCAAAAAAAAUUAGUUGUAGCUUUUAGCUAGUUUACUUUCCAUGCUUGUAGUAGUAAUAUUAAACAAGAAACCCAAAAAGAUUUCCCGUUCUUCUUUUGCUUGUUGGGAGCUUUCCCAUGUGAAUAGUAUUUCUCUUUCUUUUAAAUUCUUUUCUUUUCUUUGGGGGUCGAGAGGAGAAGACCAUGAUGAAAAUGAUGAGUUGCUCUCAUAUGCAUUAUAGUUGAUCUAACCAAGAGCACAUAUUACCUUGUCUUCUCCUUUGAAUUAAAUGUUUGCCGAUUCCAGCUUAGUACAAUGCACGUGCACUAUUAUUAUUAUCCACACCGUUCGGUCGUGCAAGUGAAAGGCAAUAAUGACGAUAUAUGAUGAAAUGAUUGAGACAUGGAAAAGCUGGUAUGAACUCGACCUAUCUUGUUUUUGUAAAUAUGAUUAGUUCAUCGUUCCUGAUUCAACCUAUUAUGAAUGAAACAUGGUUGCAAUGACCAUUAGAGAUUACAGUUACUCAUGCCAUGCUUAAUUAGCUAGGAGUUUAUAAUGGUUUACCUUGCGUGCCAACAUGCUAUUAAAAUGGUUGUGAUGUAGUAUGAUAGGGUGGUAUCCUCCUUUGAAUGAUUCGAGUGGCUUGAAUUGCCACAUGUUCACACAUGUAGUUGAAACAAAAUCAACAUAGCCUCCACGAUAUUUAUGUUCAUGGUGAUUUAUAUCCUACUCAUGCUCUCACUCAUUGUUGGUUAAUCUUAAUGCAUGUUUAUUUGAAAGUGCAACUAUCCCUAGGUGGUUUUGGUAAUUCCUAACAACAUAUAGCUCAUUGAGCUAAUGCUAUUUCAAGAUAAAUAUUUCAGGAAAAUCUCAAUGAAUGGCAUGGCAUGGAUGAGAAAAGUGGACCCCUCAAAAUACUAAGGAUAAAAGGAUUGGCUCAAGCUCAAAGCUCAAGACUCUACAUUUUAUAUUUUAGUGAUCCAAGAUCACAUUGAGUCUAUAGGAAAAGCCAAUACUAUCAAGGAGGGAUGAGGUGUUGCUUAAUGAGGUUCUUUCUCCAUAGUGCUUAGUGAUAUGCUCCAAAACCCUCAACUACUUUCUCACAUCCACAUUUGACCUAAACCAAAAGUCAAACUCGGCCCUACCGAUUCUUUCUAUCCGGCGCCACCGAGUUCAGAUGUCAUAGCCACUGCCACAAACCCUAGGCAAAUCAGUCUCACUGAUAGGGAUCUCGGUCUCACCGGGAUGGGAUUAUAAUCUCUCUGUUUCCCUUUGUAACGUUUCGGUACCACCGAGAUGAGCGAUUGGUCCCACCGAGAUUGCAAUGUAAACUCCUUGUUUCCUUUCCGUAACAUUUCGGUCCCACCGAAAUGAGCGAACCGGUCUCACCGAGUUUACCUGACCAACUCUCUGGUUAGCUUAUUACCAAAAUCGGUCCCACCGAGUUUGUGUAAUCGGUCUCAGCUAGAUUAUGUUAUGCCCUAACCCUAACCAUAUCGGUCCUACCGAGUUGCAUGUCGGUCCCACCGAAAAUGCUAACGGUCACUAGAUUUGCUGAAUCGGUCUGACCCAGUUUCUCAAUUCGGUCUCACCGAGUUUGGUAAGUUGUGUGUAAUGGUUAGAUUUUGUGUGGAGGCUAUAUAUACCCCUCCAACUCCUCUUCAUUCAUGGAGAGAGCCAUCAGAACGAACCUACACUUCACUACAAAAAAAACACUUCCGUGAUGAUACAUGUUUGUCACAGUAGGUCGCGUUUUUUGUCAUGCAUGUACAUCCAUGACAAAUUUAUGACAGAAUCAAGAUAGUCAUACCUGUGCUGUCAUAGAAGUGUUCCAUGACAUUACCAAAAUUAUCAUCACGGAAGUGUCCACUUCCUUGACGAUAAAUCGCGCGUCACAGAAGUGCUUUCGUCAAGGGUGACCGGCACGUGGCAUCCACCGUAACGGAACGCCGUUAAGCUAUCGGGUCGGAUUUUGGAUCCGAUAACCCGUUAACAUCCACGACCAAUGCCGAUUUUCCAUGUGUAAAAUUCUCAUUGGCUAACGGAUCCACGUGUCAGCUCCGCGUUGGCACAGGUGUCACCCAUCCAACGGUCGAGAUGGGCUUAUGAUAUGUUGACACGUGGACCGGCCCAAAAGUGGCCCACAAAGUUUAAAUGGGCCGGCCCAACCAAAGGCCCAUAAGAUUUAGCGGACCAUAAUGGGCCGGCCCAGCAAAAGGCCCACAAAAUUUAGCGGACCAUAAUGGGCCGGCCCAGCUAAAGGCCCACAAGAUUUUGCAGACCACAAUGGGCCGGCCCAGCUAAAGGCCCACAAGAUUCUGCAGACCAUAAUGGGUCGGCCCAGCUAAAGGCCCAACAUGCUGUGUCAAAUCGGCCCGUCAAUGGCUUGGUCUAAACUUGUCAUCAAUGCGGCCCAUGGUCACUUCUGGCCCGUUAACAGUCCGCUAAGUAAUUGGGCCGAAUUACGGCCUGGUGUAUUUCCGGCCUGUUAAAGGUCCGGCUUCAUUUGGGCCCAUUUACAGGCCAUCAAAACUUUCGGCCCAUAAACGACCGUGAAGGAUUUGGGUCGUAUUCGGCCAUGUCUAUCAUUCGGCCUGUUAGAGGCCCACUAUAGAUUUGGGCCACUUUCGGCCUGUUGUCAUUUUCGGCCCGUUAACGCCGGACGUAAACCAUGGGACAUAUGUGGCCCAACGUCAUAUCGGGCCCAUUAACGGCCCAUAUAAAAAAGACGAUAAUCUAGCCCGACCGAAGUUCUGGCCUGUUAAAGGCCCAUGUAUUAGGUCGGCGCAUUUACGGCCCGUCCGAAUUUCGGCCUGUCAAAUAUCCCCAUCGUAAAUGGGCCACCAUUUCGGCCUGCUAAGUCCAGUGGGUUAUUUGGCACAAUCAGGGCCCAAUCUCACUUUCGGUCUAUUAAAGGCCCAUGUUUUUAUGGGCUCGAGAUAUUUACACCUGUAAGUGUCCUACUUUUACUGAGGGCCCAAAUUAUGUUUAGGCCUGUUAAAGGCCCACUAUGGGCAUAGGCCUACCGGAAAAAUUUGAAAGCUUAUGCUAAUUUAAGCCCACAUAUUUUUAGUGGGCUACAUGCCAAUUUCGGCCUGUAAUCGUUUUUAGCCCAAUUGGAAUGGGCCCGACGAAUGUUGGCAUGUUGGGCUCCUACGAAGCUUUCGUCCGAAUACAUUACUAAGAUAAACCUACACUAUACAAAAAUAGCGUCAUAAUUACUACAGCCUGUGGCAGCAUCAUAAAUGUUGUAUCACAACAAAAUAAAUUCCAAUCAUACAACAAAAGGCCUAUUGGCAUAAAGUUUACAGUCCUUCCAGAUAAAAGCACCAUCAGAUGUAUAGAAGCACAUAUCAUUUAACCUGAGUGCUAAUGUUUCAGGCUGUAGAAUCUGAUGGAGCAGCAUGAUCUCCACCUAUUUUCCGCCAUUGCUCUUCAACAACGAAGCGAAUGUCUGAUAGUCUGGUUUCAAAACCAUUCAUAUCUUGACGGCAUUUCUCAACCACUAUUCUUGUUUCCGAAACAACGUCCAUUAGGGAUUGGACUUGUGUCUGGAGCACAGAUAUAUCACUCUGUCUAGCAGGAAGAUUUUGUUCAGUAGGCGAUUUGGACGACGUUACCUUGACAACCAACCCAGAAUUACGUAGGAAGGUGCUUUUUGCACUGUUAAUGGAGAGAUACUGACGCACUGCAGCAAGAGGUGACAUUGUGCCUAUAGUAGCCUCGUCACCUUCAGGUGGUUGUGGCUGUUCAAUCAUUUGUUCCAUAGCUUCCUGAAAGUUUGAACUUGUAGAUUAGUGUACCAGUGAGUUACUAAUGAGACAAAAACAAACAAAGUAGGUUAAACGUUUAUACAUAACUUAUUUUGGUGAACUACUGUAAUACAUUAGCAUGUAUUGUAGUGCCAACUAUAUAAUAAAAUCACUUUCGGAACAUAUGUCCAUGUAGCAUGCCUACUGUAUUGUCUAUUUCCUCACAUUCGUUGACAUCUAAGGAUAAAGAGACAUGGUUUAAAGUAGGAUGAACAUAGUAUGACAUCAUUCAUAUCAUGGGCAAACAGAUAUAAAACAAACAGGCUAUUUUAUCAUUGUGUGCGCACAUGAACAUGACAACUAGAUUACAGAUCAAGACCAAAAGAAUAUCCUUCAUCUCUUUUAAACCAUGUAAGGUGAAAUGAUACGUUAAGACAACUGUGUAUAAAAGUGAACAGAGUAACUGACAUUGGCUGCAAACCAAGUAGUUAAAUAAACACAUCACAGUACCAAUCAGUUCAAGGCAGGAGGAGUAAGGACUUACAAUAGCGGCUUGAACUGGUGUGCUCAUGCCCUUCAUCUUGCUGGUGUGGCAAUCCUUGAAGAUUUGCACUGCAUUUGGUUCAGGUUCUUUUGGUCCGCACAGGCUUUCCGCUGUAUUUGGAACAAGUCAAUAUAGACACGAUAAUAUGGCACAAAAAAAGAAGGAAGUAACAGCUAUUUACAAGAGCCUCGCAGUGUGCAAUAUAGCUACGAGAUCAUGUUGUUUGUUGGAAUUUCACUUUAGAACGGUUGGUUUUGUUCUUCAAACAGUUAGCCUAGAAGAAGAUACACUUGUAAGGCACAUACAUAAAUACAAGUUCAAUAUGUGGUCUAAUAAAAUACAUAUAGCCUACCUGAUACUUUGGAUCAGACCAGUGUUUAACAAGGGAUGUCUAGUCUUCAUCUGUAAUAUAUUCCACUUGAGAUCUUUGGGAGAUUUCUUUGUUAGCCUUGCCUUCAAAGUGAGAUUUUCUAAGGUGGUACCGAUACUGUCGCAGAGCAGACUGAAAAACAUGAGUGCAUGCUUGUUUAGUUGCAUCAUCUUUCGGAUCCAACUUGAACCUCAUCUGUUGAAAAAAGAAUGUGAGUCUUAUUAGGAGGAAGCUAGAAAGUAUGGGACAGAGCAAGACAAUAUUACUAAUUGCGAUGAAUAACAUUACUUACGGAUAAAUGGUCAAGGAAGGUGUUAAACUGGGUAUUGUCUUUCUCAUUCCUAUACUGGAUCCACGUUGGGAGGAUACACGCAUGACACCUAACGGCAACGGCUGCCUCUGAUACUAACUUGGCUGACUCUGUAGCAUCACGUGGCCUUUUUAAACCUGCCUCAAAAUGGAUCUCCAUUCUCCCUCCUUUAGAUUUUGUUAAUCUGUCAAGCAUUAUCCCUGAUGUCUGUUUCCGCUUGCGCCGUGGUGCUAGUUCAACAACGAAUAUGGAAAGUGUUAGUGUACAUCAAACUGUGAGAGUACAUAUAAAGGAGCAUGCAACUGCAACUUGACUCGGUCAGGUACCGUAUUGGUGUUGAUGCUCAUGUGGUUCAUCUGAUCUUGCCAAGUCCUGUUGUGUCAGCAGUGCUUCGGAAGUAGUGUUAGGUGUGAAGGCAGCUUGGGAACUGGCCAGUUCCGGAGCAAACGAACGAGUAACUAGUUGAGAUGCUGGUACAGUUGAAGCAGAUGUUGCAGCUGGUGGAGCAGGUGAUACUGUGUUUGUAGAUUUAGCCGGUGGACUUGGACCUUCUACUGCACUAUAAGUACCAGCAGAAUCUCGACGGCAGAGCCUUUUCCGUUUCACCCGACGAGUAACAACACUCCCUACUAUAUUAUUUUCCUUGCUCUUUUUUGACUUUGCCAUGUCAAGCUGUACCCACAACACAAAAGAAUAAAAUCACUCUUCAGAACUCAUUGAUGCAUGAUACAGACAAGCAAUACUUUGAUGUAAGACAACCGUAUGAGGAUGGAAUAUGUAAGAAAAACAGGACAACAUGACAUAUUCACAACUACGAUGUGCAAACUAAGCAGAAGGAUUUUUAAGAAAAUAGAAGUAAUGCAAGCUAGACACCAUAUGAAAGAUGCAACCAAUAUUACUCUGCCAAGUUAAAAGUGUCUUGUCAUAAGUGGCAAUUCGAAAAAUUAGAAGCAGUACAACGUAGAAAUCAAUGCAAGAUGCAACCACUACUAUCAAACUGCCAUGUUAAAAGCUUCCAAUCAUGAGUUACUGAUGCGGGAUACACAACAUCAGUACUUUGAUGUAAGAACAUGGUAUGAUAGAUAGAUGCAGUGUAUUCUACACACAGAAAGCCAUGUCAUAUGCACAUGUAUAACAUAUAAACUCAGCAGGUGCAAUUUAAUCAAAAUAGAAGAAAUACAGGCUAGACAACAUAUGCAACAUGAAACCAAUUAUCACACUGUCAACUUAGAGCAAGAACCUGCUAUGGUGGAGUGCGGGAUAUGAACUCAUCAUGUAGACUUGGGACUUCAACUUCAUUAGCAGUAGCAGUGGCAAAUCUAGAGAGUCUCUGUUUGCGUCGGUGCGGAGUACCACCAACAUCCCCUAACUUACUCUUUUCCUUCCUAUUUUCUGAUAUUGCCUUAUGAAGGCAAAACCACAAGAAGAUGAAGAAAAUUAGCUCUGCAUAACUGGUUGAUGCAUGAUACAGACGAACACUACUUUGAUGUAAGGCAAGCGCAGGAGGAUGGAAUAUAUACAAAGAAAGACAGCGUUUCAUAUUCACACGUACGAUAGGAGGAUGGAAUAUGUAUGAAAAAACAGUAAGCAGAAGGCAUUUCAACAAAAUUAGAAGAAAUGAAAGCUAGGCACCAUAUGAACAUGCAACCAAUAUCACUCUAUCAGGUAAAAAGUGUCUCAUCGUGAGUGCCAUUUCAAGAAAUUAGAAGCAGUACAAGCUAGAAGACAAUGCAAGAUGCAACCUACAUCACAGUCCCAAGUUAAAUGUGUCUUAUGGGUAAGUGAUCAUUGCAGGUAUAAGUUGUAAGCUACGCAGAUUCAAUUCAACAUAAUUAGAAGCAAUACAAACUAGACAUCAUACGGAAAACGCAACCAUGUAUAACAGUUCCAAGUAAGAGCAAGCACCUGUGAUGGUGGAGUAGGGGAGAUGUGCUCAUCGUGUACACAUAUGUUCUAGAAACAGGAACACGUGUCAUAUUCAUAGGCAUUAUGUGUAAAGUAAGCAGAUGCAAUUCAAGUUAGAAGCAAUACAAGCUAGACAUCAUACGCAACAUGCAACCACAUAUAAUAGUGUCAAGUUAGAGCAAGCACCUGUGAUGGUGGAGUAGGGGAGAUGUGCUCAUCAUCUACAUAGCUACGUUGACUGUCUAGCCUUGUGUUGUCUUGCGAAUCUUGUUGGGAGGAUGGCGGAGUAGAAUCUGUAGAGACCCCCUGUUUGAGUUGCUCCGAAGGACCACCAUCAUCCACUGCCGGACUAAUUUCCUUCAGCUGUAAUGAUUUUGCAUUGUGAAGUCAAACCAAUAAGAAAAAGGAAUAAAAUUCGCUCUUCAGAACUCAUUCAUGCAUGAUACUGACGAACACUACUCGGAUGAAAGGCAAACACAUGAUGCGAGGAUGGAAUAUGUAUGAAAAACAGGAUGGUGUGACAUAUUCACACCUAUGAUGUGGUAACUAAGUAGAAGGCAUUUCAACAAAUUAGAAGCACUGCAAGCUAGACACCAUAUAAAAGAUGCAACCAAUAUCACUCUGCCAAGUUCAAACUGUAUGGCGUUUCAACAAAUUAGAAGCAGUAUAUGCUAGAAAUCAUAUGCAAGACACAACCAAUAUCACAGUGGUGACUUAAAGGUGCCUUAUCAUAAGUGACUGAUGCGGGAUAUGCAAGAAUAGUAGUCUGAUGUAGAAACAGGAACACAUGUCAUAUUCACAGGCAUUAUGUGUAAAGUAAGCAGAUGCAAUUCAACAAAGUUAGAAGCAAUACAAGCUAGACAUCAUACGCAACAUGGAACCACAUAUAAUAGUGCCAAGUUAGAGCAAUCACCUGUGAUGGUGGAGUAGGGGAGAUGUGCUCAUCAUCUACACAGCUACAUUGACUGUCUAGCCUUGCGUUGUCUUGCGAAUCUUGUUGGGAGGAUGGCGGAGUAGAAUCUGUAGAGAACCUCCGUUUCAGUUGCUCGGAAGGACCACCAUCAUCCAAUGCCUUGCCAAUUUCCUUCAGCUUUAUUGAUUUUGCAUUGUGAGGUCAUACCGACAAGAAAAAGGAAUAUCAUUCGCUCUUCAGAACUCAUUCAUGCAUGAUACUGAUGAACACUACUCUAAUGAAAGGCAAAGUCAUGAUACGAGGAUGGAAUAUCUACGAAAAAAUGGAUGGCUUGACAUAUUCACACCUAUGAUGUGGUAACUAAGCAGAAGGCACUUCAACAAAUUAGAAACACUGCAAGACACCAUAUGGAAGGUGCAAUCAAUAUCACUCUACCAAGUUAAAACUGUCUCGUCAUAGGUGGCGUUCAUCAAACUAGAAGCAAUACAUGCUAGAAAUCAUAUUCAAGACACAAACCAAUAUCACACUGCCAACUUAAAGGUGUCCCAUCAUAAGUGACUAAUGCAGGAUACACAAGAAGAGUAGUUUCAUGUAAGAACAUGGUGUGAUAGACAGAUAUAGUAUGUACCAAAAACAGGAAAGCGUGUCAUAUUCACAUGUAUCAUGUGUAAGCUAAGCAGAUGCAGUUUACACUAAUUAGGAGCAAUACGAGCUAGACACCAUAUGCAACAUGCAACCAGAUAUCACACUGCCAAUUUAGAGCAAGCACCUUGGAUGGUGGAGUAGGGGAGCGGAGACUUGGACCAUGUAAUGCACUAUCAGUACAAGGAGAAUCGGUACAGAUGCUCCGUUUAUGUUGCUGAAGAGGACCACCAUCAUCGCCUUCCUUACUCUUUUCCUUCCUCUUUCUUGAUUUUUCCUUGUCAAGUCAAACCCACAAGAAAAAGGAAUAAAAUUUGCUCUUCAGAACUUAUUGAUGCAUGAUACUGACGAACUCUACUUUCAUGUAAGGCAGCCGCAUGAUAGGAGGAUGGAAUACGUGUGAAAAAUAGGACGGCGUGACAUAUUGACAUGUAUGAUGUAUAAAGUGUAAACUAAGCACAAGGUGCUUGAACUUGUUAGAAUCGAUGCAAGCUAGAAACCAUAUGAAAGAUGAAACCAAUAUCACUCUGCCAAAUUAAAAGGGUGCCCUAACAAAUGUAUUUGACCAAAUUAGAAGCAAUACAUGUCAACAGGCUAGAAAUAAUAUGCAAUAUGAAACGAAUAAAGGUGACUCAUUGUAAGUAAUUGAUGCAGGAUACAGAAGAGAGGUAGUUUCAUGUAAGAACAAGGUUAACACAUAGAUGUAGUGUACCAAAAAUAGGAAGGCAUGUCAUAUUCACAGGUAUAGUGUGUAAACUAAGCAGAUGCAAUUUACCCUAAUUAGAAGCACUACAAGCUAGACACCGUAUGCAACAUGCAACCACAUAUCACACUGCGAAGUUUGAGCAAGCACCUGUGAUGGUGGUGUAGGGGAAGUGCUGUCUUCAGGUACAGAGCAACAUUCAAUAUCUUCAUUUAGGCUUGCUGUUUCUUGAGAAUUAUGUGGAGAGGAUGAAAUUGCAUUCUUUAUAAGAGUAUUGCGUCUCAUAUUAACCCACGCGUGUGACUGUCUCAUCAUAAGCGAUAGACGCAGGAUACACAAGAACGGUAGUUUGAUGUAAGAACAUGGUGUGAUAGGCAAAUGUAGUAUGUACCAAAAACAGGAAGGCGUGUCAUAUUCACAUGUAUAAUGUGUAAGCUAAGGAGAUGCAAUUUAAAAAAUUAGGAGCAUUGAUGAGGGAUACACAAGAGAAGUAGUUUGAUGUAAGAACAUGGUUAAUAGAAAGACGUAGUAUGUACCAAAAACAGGAAGGCAUGUCAUAUUCAUAGGUAUAAUGUGUUAACUAAGCAGAUGCAAUUUACCCUAAUUAGAAGCAUUACAAGGUAGACACCAUAUGCAACAUGCAACCACAUAUCACACUGCCAAGUAAGAGCAAGCACCUGCGAUGGUGGUGGGGGAAUUGCGGUGAUCAACUAGAGAGCUACAUUGACUAUCUUCAUUUAGCCUUGCUGUUUCUUGAGAAUUAUGUGGGGAGGAUGACACUGCACUCUUUAAACGAGUAGGGCGUAUUACAGUAACCCACCCGGGUGACUGUCUCAUCAUAAGUGAUUGACGAGGGAUACAAAAGAGCAUUAGUUUGAUGUACGAACAUGGUUAAUAGACAUAUGUAGUAUGUAUCAAAAAUAGGAAGGCAUGUCAUUAUCAAAGGUAUAAUGUGUAAAGUAAGCAGAUGCAAUUUAACCAAAUUGGAAGCAAUACAAGCUAGACACCAUAUGCAACAUGCAACCACAUUUGACAGCGCGAAGUUAAAGCAAGCACCUGGGAUGGUUGUGUGUGGCAAUUGAGAUCAUCAACUGCAGAGCUACUUUUACUGUCUCCAACUGCUGACACUGCACCCAUUAGAGCGCUGAAAUGCUUACUGCUUAUCUUCGAAUUACACUGGAGCGACUUCUGUCUUUUCUUUUCUGCAUUCAUCAACACUGCGUCAGAGUCUGAAAUACCCAUGCAUAAAAAAACAAUAGUGUGAGUAUGGGUGAAGUGUGUGCACAAUUAGUACAGUGUAAAGGUAGCAGAUAGCAGGUCGGUGAGAAAUAAAUGACGGGAGACAUAUGAUAGCUCUACAACAUGCAUGGCACACUCAAUUACUACAGGAUUCUAUGAAAAUAACAGUCGACUGAAAGAAAAUAGGUCAGUCCAUUUUUUCUGCAACGUCCAAUGUACAAAGAACGGGCAGAUCGCCUUCAUCUACCUCCAGCCAGUCAGUGUUGACGAUCUUCCUCGAAACGCCAGCGACCACCGGCCCAGUAUUCCUCCCCUGCCUGCGCCCUCCCCUCGACCUCACCGCACCGCCGUGCUUGGCACCGCCCACCCGGCCAUCCAUUCAAGCUCCGCCGACCUCCAGAUCGGGCGCAAGCAGCUCCUGCGCCCCACACCCCUAUGAUAGACACCGAUGCGCCGCUUCCCAGGGGAACAGGCGGACUAGGUGCUCCGCGCGCCUAAGCGGGUGCUGCUUCUUUUAAUUGCGGUUCGACUGACCCUGAAUUGAAAUCCAGGCGGGCUACUGACCUCUAGCAAAGGUGAAAUAGUAAAAGGGAGGAAACCUUGUGCAUUUAGUAUCACGAAGAAGAUGCAGUAAGAAGCGCUCAACUAGUUUCUUUCGUGGGAUGAAUACGGUGUGAGCGGCGACGUAAGAUUUGCACGAAUAAGGGAAGAGGAGUACCUCUUUUUGCUUGCAGUGCUGUGUCCUCCUUCUAUUUUUUCGACGAUCUUUUUGUUCGCCAGAAACCAGAAGUUGUGGAGGACGGUGCAGCCUUGGAUGAACCCAUGGCCAAGUUGUUGAGUGUGGUGCGGUGGCCGUCUGUCGGUGGCGGGGAAGCAGAUCCGAGGCGGCGAAUGAUGGCGUAGCGGGAACAACUCCAGUGCGGUGGACGGUUGCGACAGUGGAGCCGCAGUAGUGAGGCGCAGGACGGCGUGGUCGAAGUGGUUAUGGUACGGCGCACGUCGGCGUCGGUGUCGUGGAGGUAGCUCUGCCUCGGCUUCAGCUGCUAAGUCCUUGAGGGCAUUGCGGUUGCGGUUGCGUUGGGCGGCGACUUCGGGGUACCGGCUCCGGCAUGAUGGAGGAGGGCGGCGGUGGAUUGGCCGCUAUGGGGUGGAGGACGGAGGAUGCUGGGGUUUCGCAGCUGGUGGAGAGGGCGUUUUCGUGCCCACGGAGUAUGAAUGGGGAAACGGAGGGAGGCGGGGAACUAAGGGGGAACAAUGUUUUGGUUUGAGACGCGCUUGUUUGAAAUUUGGGGAAAGUUACAAACUUUGCCCCCAUCUAAAAUUUCGGACAUAUUGCGGGUUGGGGGUAGGACAGUCAUGUCAGGUGUCCCAAAUGUGGGCGGGAUAGAUUUCGGCCAAGCGCAUGGGUGUUUAGGCGCCCACGGCGUAUGAAUGCUUCUCGGAGGUGGUUGGGACUGGCGUCUUGGUGAAGUUACAAACCUACCCCGGUUUAGACCUUUGGACAUCGGGCCGAUAGGCUACACAGGCCAGAGUCAGGACAGUAAUUUCCUACCACCAAAACAUUAGUCUCGCACGGUUUCGGGUGACCAGAGGCCUAUUUGGUGCUUCGUUCAAUAUUUGGGAGUAGAAGCAUUAACGUUUUUGGUUCUCUUGAAUUGAACUUUCAGGAUUUGACAAACUUCACAAAUCUUUACUCUUGAAAAUCCUAAAGCUACGAUUAUUUUGGAAUGGAGGGGGUACAUUUUAAUAUACAUUGUACACGAGUAUAUAUUAAAAAAUAUGCAACUUACCUCAGUUCAUGCAUGGUUCCAGGUAUAAUCUCCUUGGUUGCAAAAAAAGUUAGAUAUGCGUAUGAAUAUAUAUACCAUGUUCAAACUCACAACAAAGAUUGAUGCCCCCUUUUACAUCUGAUUUACAAAUGCCAUUAUCUCGGGUUCAAAUAGAUGAAUGCACUUCCUAUGAAUUCGAAUCUUCGAAACCCCCUUUAUGUUGAAUUAGACAUGUAUUUUAUUUCGUAGCUAGCCAUUUGGAAUGUAUCCAUGCAAGUGACAAAUGUAUAAAGUGCUUCACACUAACAACAUGGAGUGCACUAAUUAAUGUUUAUAUAUGAAUUGCGAAAGCAUCCAUUGCCUGUAUUUCAAACCGCUCUCACUCUAUGGAUCGAUAAUAUGAAAUAAACACAUGCACAUGCUAGAAUUCAAUAGAGUAUGGGUGUCUGAUAGACCGAUUUUCGUCCAUACGCAAUUUUGCAAAAUUCAUGAUCUCAUCCAAAAAUAAUAAUGCCAUUUAUAUUUUAAUUUAAUGCGUAGAACCGCCUUUUACACGUAGAUGCACUAUGCCUCGCCCCGUUCUCACAAACGCGUUAUAUAUCUCUCUAUCUAACGCAUAAGUGCACACACUUUAUAUGCAUCGGCAUUUCUCUUUCACACAUGCUCACAAUCUCUCUCAAGGUGUCGGGGUGUCUCACGCACAUGCUCUCUCUGUUUCUCUAUCUCUCUUUCUGACUACUAUGUACCACUCUUUUCACUAAUCUCAGUUGGAAAACACUAUUUCUCUCACAUGCAUAUAUACACAUGCACGGUCUCUACUAGCCCUCUAUACGCACAUAUAUGUGCCUACGUGUCUCUCGCACGCACAUUAUCUUUAGGCCUCUCUCGCACACAUUGCCCCCCCCGACACACCUCUCUAAUAGUAGUUGGCAGAUAUGAUUUCAUCAUAUCAUUCGGUAGGAUAUCCCUGGCUGUUAGACUGGAUGGUAAUACGAGGCAAAGUUUUACCCUAGUUCGGAUCGGACCCUUGCAGUUGAAGAAAGAGCCUACUCCUGGUACUGUAUAUUAGUGUUAGGGGUGUGUACAAAGUACACGUGAAUACCAGGCAUUGUGCGUGUGUGUAUACCAUCGAUGAACUAGACCCCAAGCUUUUAUAACAUACUAAGGGCCUAGGGUUACAAAUCAUAUAUAGUCGGCUUAUCAGCAGUGGGGAUAGAGUCCUCCGCGACUCUGGUAGCUUCGUGUUGUAUGCCGAGUCCUCCACAUGGGUCUCCGUAUAACACGUCUCGGUCCAACCUAUAUGUGGCGCAGGAUGGAACCGACCCAUGAGUCUUCAUGUUGACCCACCACAACUAGAAAUGAUGUGCCCACCACACCACACACGCAAUCGGCCACUAAGAAAAUAAGCAUAUACAAUAGUACAACGGUAUCUAGCUCACGAUACGUCUCCAUAUUUUGUUGAUGACAGUGACGGACUUUGCAUUUGAUGCGUGCUCCGUAUUUUGUUGACGACACUUACGGUCAUUGUAUUUGAAGCGAAAGCACGAUAUGGUCACUGGACUUCAGAAUAAGCUCAUCACGGUCACCACAUACAUUUUGUCGUGCUAACCAACAUGUGGUUGGAUGGUUAGAGGACAUUGGUUUCUCGAGCCCACCAAGGUUAAAGUCCCGGUGCUCGCAUUUAUCUUGUGUUAAUUUCAGUAUUUUCUGGCGAUGUACGUUCAGUGGGAGGAGACAUUCCACUCGACUACGAGGCACCUAUGGUGACUUCGUAAAAUCUCAAGAUCAUAUAUGCUGGCCCACUCUCUCGAAGGUGCGGCGGCGGACCGGCGGUGGGGAGUGCUUUCGGGGANNNNNNNNNNNNNNNNNNNNNNNNNNNNNNNNNNNNNNNNNNNNNNNNNNNNNNNNNNNNNNNNNNNNNNNNNNNNNNNNNNNNNNNNNNNNNNNNNNNNNNNNNNNNNNNNNNNNNNNNNNNNNNNNNNNNNNNNNNNNNNNNNNNNNNNNNNNNNNNNNNNNNNNNNNNNNNNNNNNNNNNNNNNNNNNNNNNNNNNNNNNNNNNNNNNNNNNNNNNNNNNNNNNNNNNNNNNNNNNNNNNNNNNNNNNNNNNNNNNNNNNNNNNNNNNNNNNNNNNNNNNNNNNNNNNNNNNNNNNNNNNNNNNNNNNNNNNNNNNNNNNNNNNNNNNNNNNNNNNNNNNNNNNNNNNNNNNNNNNNNNNNNNNNNNNNNNNNNNNNNNNNNNNNNNNNNNNNNNNNNNNNNNNNNNNNNNNNNNNNNNNNNNAAUCUAAUGACCAGAGAUGAAAAAGUCAGUCGACUGACGUGUAGCCUCACCUCGCACGUACACAUGCACGCACGCAAGACACGCACGCAUGUAGGCCUGCAACACUAACACGUACACAUAAUGUACACACGCAUGCAUGCUAGAGUGCAACACUGACACGUACACAUGCACUCACGAAUACACGCACGUACGCACCCAUGCAUGCAACACUGGCGCACCCUUGCACACACGCAACACUCGCACGCCUGCAUGCACACAACACACGACGCAAUACACACGCUUAACUACAUGAAAAAGAUGACAUCACACUCAAUGAACAAGCAUCGGUUUAUGAAAUGUCCGCUUUUGACCGCCCUGGCCCACCAAAGGUUCCUCUGAUGUGCGCUGCCUGCGUUGGGUCACUGACAUGCAGGCCAUGCACCCAAAGAGCCCACACGUCAGUGGAAGAACGGCGCGGUGUCCUAGGUCAGAGUCGAGGGCGCCAGUCGCGGCACGCCCGGCUGAACACGCCUCCGUGCCGCAUUCAAACGCCUCCAUGAAACCCGCCCGUGUGGAAGCCGAGAAACCCACUCUGGACACACGUCCGUUCAUGACCGGGCCGGCGUUAAACGCAACACCGGCCGAGCUCCUCCCGUCCGCCAUCUAUUUAAUCUCCUAUUUAAAAGAGGCCAAACGCCGGCCAAGAAUCUCACACCUCCGCCGCUCCCCUAUCUCCUCCACCAUUUUGUCCACUCUUACAAUGGCUUACGAAGAGUAGUUAUUCCGCAUCCAAGCCGGCUGGGUAGCCCGCCGGAUACGAGCUAUGCAGCUCGCUGAUCCACCUCCCUCCCCUCGCCCGACGGAGCCAGUUGCCGCCCCAAGCCGGCGCGCGGUUCAACAACUCGCCGCUCCAAGCCAGUUUGACGAGGAGCGGUGCACGAGCGUCGUUGCUGCUGUCCAUGCCGCCGCCUCGUACCGCGUCUCCCGUUUCUGUGGCCGAGACUCCCAUGCCGGUGGCCGCGCCAUGCAAGCAGCGACAGAAGCCGGGUGCGCGGAGAGCGACGAGUCGGUGGCCAGCGCCUCCGCGUCCGCCGCCAUCAUCGAGGAGAAGUAGAACACGGGAGGCUGCCGCCGCUUGGGUCCCAUGAAGGCCACCGCGGAGGCGACGCCGGCGUACACAGCAGGUGUCUUGCCGGAUCCUUUUGUUGCAAGGACCUUCAUCGACCCUGCAUGGGCUCCACGGAAGAGGUCAAUGUUAGGAUGAACUCGAGCCGGUGCCGGCCAUGGCGAAGUAGUGGCCGGUGAUGAACUCGAACCGGUGCCAGCCACCAUCAUCUUCGGCACCAGCCAAUGAUAUUAGUUGGGCAAUGGGGAAGCGAGCUAUCCUUUGCGCUGAAGCAUAUACCUCCGGGGCUCCCGGCAGUCUGGUGAUCGUGCUGCCGGACAUGAGGAACACAAAUCGAUCGGCGGGCGACCAUUUAGGCCAGGUAUUAUAUACCUGUGCUGUCCAGAACUAGCACCACAUAGUUCAUUUGAAUGUAAUGAAAUCCGUCAUGUUUGUGUGAAAAUCCGGUAUUUUAUAUGAUUUCCGUCGUUGUUUAUAUGAAAUAUCAGUUUGUCUACGUGUUUGCGUGAAUUUCGUCCGGUUGGUUGAGUUGCUGUCAUAAUGUGUGCGGCUACGGUUGGAUGGCGUAAUUUGCGGGUCGCCGGUCGGUCUGCGGGCGGCUCGGGCGGCGUUGUGGGACAAAAAACAUAGCUCGUGCGAGCUCGUCUCCAAUGUGCGCGCUGGAGGAUGCAUGACAGCAUGAGCACCCGAGCCGUUCCUCGUUCAUCGGUGGCAUAGGCACCGGUGGACAAAAGGGUCACCAAUAUUUUGGCUACCCCGGUCAAGAUCCAAACAUACCCUCCCAACAGAUUCAAAUUCCUCGUUCGCCGUGGAAUUUUGCCAUGUGUUGUUUUCAUGGACUAGCAAGAUGCCCGUGCAUUGCAUGGAAUAUCAAGAUGCAUUUUUUUACAAACUCCCGCAUGCAUGCAAGGGAUAAUUAAUGUCCUCCUUUGCUAGUACCAUGAGGCAAACACCAUUAAUAUUGCAUCGAUUAGUGUUAGUGGCCUUGUAUAUCUGCAAAUUGUAAUUUUGAUAGUGUCCCCUUGUAUAUAAAAAUGGAGGGAGAAAUAUGAGAGAUAAGGUGAGGAGGAGUGGGGCGUGGUGCCGUGGUGGUGACUGGUGGUCGGACUGGGCGGAGGCAUGGGGAUGGACGGCGCAUUAUGUCUAGGUUUGUAUCUCUCUCACACACACCCACGUAGGUGGGGGACGUGCACGAAGAGAAGAGGUGCACGCACGGCACACGUACUCCCGUCUCUUUCCCAACCACACCCGCGCGGGUACAUGGUGGAGCUCAUUUCUGUACGAAAAAGGCAGCCCACAUGUUAAUUUGGCACGUGUAUUGGUUGUCCACUUGGUGGAGGGAGGAUCGUCUACCACGGGUGAACAAACAAAUUGCGACUUGACGCGUUAUGUUAAAUUAAAAAAAGAGGCAAACCAUGUGGGACCUACCUUAGAGGCAAGGCUCUAUACACUGGAGUACUUUUGAUGUGUCCCGUCAACUCGCAGAACAAGGAGGAACUUGCUUAAUAUGCCAUCUCCCCCGCCCACGGGCACGGUGGCUCGCAGGAUGAGGUGAAGCUGGAGUACUACUCUACGCCUUUAUGCUCGCUCCCUCGCCCACGCGCACGGUGGCUCACGGCACGAGGAGAAAAUUUUACUACUCCCUCCAUUUACUCCUCGUCCCUACUACGUACUUUGGUUAGUACUCCCUCUAUUUACUUAUACGAGGCCACUAUAAAAAAUACAUUUUGCAUCUAUACAAGGCUACAAAUAGUAAUUGAGACAAAAGUUACUACUCCCUCCUUUCCAGUUUAUGGCUCAAUUUCAAAAUCUCUCCAACCAAGGUAGACGGUGAGUGGUCGAAUUAAUUUCAUAGUUUGCACAGUACUCUCGUUUUUCUCAAGAAGUUAUAUUUACCGAGGAAUUAAUUAGAACGAAUGCAUGAAUGACCACUAAAUUUCCAUGAACUUGUACAUGCAUUGGUUAGUUUCCUCUUGACACUGCUUGCGUCGGGUGAUCUAACGCACCUCGAAAUCCAACAUGUAAUGGUACUACUACUAGUAUAGUAGAAUUGAGACUUAUCAAACGGAAAAACGAAUGUUUUUUAGAUGAGCCCUAUAAACCCUAGUGGGUACGUACUCCAUAAAAACAGAUUUUUCCAAAACUAAGUCGCUCCCUUUCAUGAACUUUGUAGUAUACUCCUUCGUCGACGCUCCCUUUCAUGAAUUCUGUACUUCCUGUCACCGACAUGUGGGACAUAUAGCAAUCGGGUCGACGUGUCAAGCACCAAAUAACAGUGCAGAACAGCACAGGGACGCUCCUCGUCGAGCUGGCCAUGUAAAGAGCGCUCGUCGCCAAAUUAUGCAUAUAGUACUAUUAAAAAAGCUAGUACGUGCUUAAUUGGGGUGCUAAAUUUUAUUAAAGAAAUACUAGUACUAGUAUGUACAUACUGAAGAGUUAAAGUAACAAGAAGAAACAUAACAUAGUUCUGCUGGGGGCUCAGCACAACACACCCCUCGAAUUAAACUAAGCACACCUGAAAUUAAACUAUGCAACUAAUCCGGUAGACACUGCAUUAGAAGUUUAGAACCGCCAUGAGCAACAACACUGCCACCUUACUCGGAGUCCUCGUCCAUGUCCUCGACUUCGUCCUUGUCCCUCUUCCUCUUGGCCGAUACUUCUUUGCUUGAACCGCCAACUUGGUUGUUGCUCUUCAUCCAACCCUUGUAGAUAUUGAAACAAAGGUAGCCAUCCAUUGCAGCGUAGUGGAUGUGGUCUAUAUCUAGUACAUUCCGCUGCCAUGCAUGACGAUGAAACGUGUAAUGAGGUUUCUCCAGUUUACGGUAUGAAGGAUGAACCAUGACUCCUGCCAAGGUCAGCAUUGAGGGCUGACGAGAGGGCACCAGCCGAUUCUUCUGGAGGUCGAAGGGGUUGCCUACAACGAGGCCUAUCCGACCCAGGACUUCUUUGUCGUUCUUAAAGUCUACAGUAACGAAUUUCACUGUGUUGUCCUCGAGGAAGUUCUUAAAAUCCUGGCACUCAACGUCGGCAUGGCAUAUGUGGUAUACCAAGCAAACGUUAUGUACGCAAACCUGGAUCACGGCGGGCUUCUUCCUCUCUUCGUCCUUUAGAUCCUUCUCUCGUCCCACGACUGUGGUGUACUCAACAUCUCGCCCAUCGACCCACUCAUCAUGUGAGUUUUCGAACAUUCGUCUGAAGCGAGAAAGGCAUCCUUUCACCGUCGCGUAAGUACGGGUAUAGAUGACGUUGAACUCAUCGCCGGUGAUGGUUCUAACCUUGUACUCACUGCCAAUCGGGGAGAUUUGGGACGCCAUGGAUUUGGGAGGAGGGUUAGGAUUAGUGGAAGUGCCGUAAUGUGAAUGGACGGGACGACUAGGAGCGAACCGCUGUAGUAUUAAAGGACGUGCGGGAAAGAGUAGGAGAGAACUGCCAGCGUGCGAACAACAGGGUAGUGGCUUUCCAUUCUCCCAUGAUACGGGCUUCCGAGAGCCCUUGGAUCUGAGAUCGAACGGUUGCAUGGCGUGAUUCUAGACCUCUGGGUGAAUAUCCUAUCCUGGAAGGUUAUUCUUACAAAUUUUAGCAGCUUAGCAUGUGACCGUUUGAUCUCAGAUCCAAGGGCAGCCAGCAGCCCAUAUCAUGGUUGCGCCUACCACGACCGUCGCGUCGCUCGCGCGGUCUCGCCCUUGGAGAUUUAACACGGUGCGUUAGGCUAUCUGAUGUUGGCAUGUCAUACAUAGUCAUCACUUAGUCACUCAUACUACAACAAGGUUGGCUACAAGUGUAUUUUUUUACUCCUCUCUAUCUCUUUCUUCGUACUCCCUCCGUCCCAUAAUAUAAGAACGUUUUUGACACUAGCUAGUGUAGUGUCAAAAACGUUCUUAUAUAAUGGGACACAGGGAGUACUAGUAUUUAUUGCAUUUGCCAAGGAGUGACCUCUUCCAAUGAAAUGGUGUUGCUAAGUUUGCUUCAUUUAAUUAGCUAUAGACUCAAAAUUCUCUUUUCACCUAGGUACACGCGCUUAGCACCGUUUCUUCCUUGGGUCACCAAACUAGUCUCUCUCUUCUUGAUUAACUUGCCACAUCAGACUUUAUGCCUAUGUGGCAAGCUUAAGCACCUAUAGGAGCAAGUAAGUACAAUAGUGUGCUUUACAUGGCAUUUUUGCAUAUGUGGAGGAAAGAGAGGCAAGGAGAAAGUGGAGAAGUGGGCUCUCAUGCAAGAGCCAGCCUCUACUACUACAUGGUGGAGCAUUGGGAGAGGCACCUAUAUGGAGGUGGUCAGGAAUCGGGAGACUCACGCCGGUCGUAGCGCCGCAGUUAAAAUGAUAAUGGCAAGUCAAAUCACGGGGCCCCACCUGUCCAGCAGUAACUCGCUAUCAAAUCACAUAGCCCUACGUUUGCAGCAACCUACUCCCUCGUCUUCUCGCGUCUCUGUCGAACCGACUAGGUGGAACUGCCCCGCCUACCGUGCAGGAAAAGCCCUGCCCUCGACUUUUAAAUACAACUACUCCCCCCUUCUAGGUGAGUAAGUCAUCUUACAAAAACCAAAUAAUCCCACAAUACUAAGGUGUGGUGCAUUAACUUCUACCUUGUUUCUUGUUUCUUCACAUAUCAACCAAUAAGAAUCCAAUGAUAUACUUUUUGUGACAUAGUAACUCAUAUUUAGUUAGUCAAAUGGAUGACCUAGAACUAUGUGCAGGCCCUAUAAACCGAGAUGCCUACAAAUAAAAAACCGAGACGGAGAGGGUAGUUCAGCACGUAUCUUUUUAGAUCAAUAUAGUCAGGAUUCACCAAGGAGCAAAACCAAGUGGUAGGCUGCUCCUGUCAUGUUGGCGUAGCAACUCAAGCAGGGUCAGUCUGCACACGAAAUGGCGACACACUUAACAGGACCCCUUUGGCAGACAUGUGGCUCAUCCACCGUCUUGUUCCAUGUGUGAUGCACCAAAUUACUUUUCGGAGCAGCGGUUGGAAUUGGAGGCACCCCAGUCGUAGCGCCGUAGUAGUAGAAAAUGAGCGAUGAGGGGUCAAAUCACAAAGCCCCACCUUUCCCGCAUUAAGCUGGACGGACGAAGCAACCAUCAUUUCACUCUAGCGUGCAAGAGCAUAAAGAAAAGAGAAAACAAUGAUGCGUGCGGCAGCUACCUAGGGCACCCUAGGGCAGGGGUCUCCACUACAGGUCCUUUUUUUUGAAAGCGCCUCCACUACAAAUCGGCUUCUCCCUCGUCCUCUUGAAGAAAACCGAUGAUGAGUGCGGCGGUAGGGUUUGUAGGAGUACUAUGGCGUGCGGGGCCACGUCGUAGUAAAUGGGUUCGAGUCGACGCCUUAAAUAUGUGUGGGCCGCUUGGUUUUAUGGGAACGAGGCAACAUUUUGGGUUCGGGGACCAGCGGAGAUAUAGCACGUACAAAAUAUUGUGGACGUAGGUUCGACCGAAAGGCAAUGAUGCAUGGGCCCUGCAUUUUGAUAUACCCAGGGCCACGUGAAAUUUGCUACUCUACUCAAAACUAGUAAGGUACACAUGUAUUGAACGCAUGAGAUUUCGAAACCAAAUUAUGAAUAAAUACACACUAUAGCAUGUAAAGCUUUGAGUCAUAUAUGCAUGAUGUAGAUGUUCGUUUAGUUCUUAUAGUUCAUCUCAUUCAAAAUCAAUUAGUUUUAUAAAAAUGUUAAGAUUCAUGGGGUUGUGCAUUAUAAAUCAUAAAGUAAAAAACAAAUAAUGGCAAUUCAUUUAGAAAAAAAUAAUCAAUUAUGAUACAGAAGAUUCUAGAACAAAGGAGAAGUGCUUGUGUUUUGAGGAUUGUGCAUUAUGCUUAAGUUAAACCAUGGAGUCUUCUAAAUUGUACAUGUGGCAGAUCUGGUGGAACAUUGAUGAUAUCCAACGACCAGUAGUGCUCGGAUUUUCCCAUCUCUGCACUGUCGGGUUAGCUUCAUCCAGCGACCAUCUUUCAAAGUUAUUGGCACACUAUAUGGUUCUUGUGCCAUAGUUGCAUGUUUUGGAAAAAAGCUACUAGUGGGUUGUGCUAUCUAUUUAGGAAUAGAAGAUGCAUACAUGGAAGUUGUAGGGAAAGAGAUGACAUGGAGCAUCUCAAUUCCUAUGAGUAGGGAUUGGAAAACAGAUGUCAUUUGGUCCACAUCAUAGGAACUUUUCUAUUGAAUCUAGAGAUGACAUGUAUCUCAAUUCCUAUGAGGAGGGAUUAGUAAAGAUAUGUAAUUUGGUUCAUAUCAUAGGAACUUUUCUAUUGAAUAUACGCUAAUGUUUAUUUUCCUUUGAAAUUAAGGGAGUAUAGGAAUCCAUUCAUAUGAACCAAGUGGCUCUAAAGCUAUAGAAAUGAUAUCAUGUUUAUUUCCUUUGAAAUGUAGAGUAUAUGAAUCUAUUCCUAUGAACCAAUUGGCUCCAAAGGAAAAAAUCCUAUAAAAAUCAUAUCAUAUAGAGUUCCUAUGAUAUUCCUCGACACUAAAGGAUGGUUGAAAUUGCUGCGGGUGAUACGAUGGUAUUUCUUUGUAGACUCCUCACCCAUCUUUAUAGUUACCUAUCGAAGAUGAAUGAAAUGAUAUAUACAGGGUAUUCUACAUGUGCAAUUUGGUACACAAAAACUCGGUAAAAGUUUGCGAGGUUCUAAUUUUCAAUAAAUCUAUAUGCACUGCAUUUUGGAACAGAGGGAGCAUACGGCAGUUGCUAACACUCACGUGGAAGAUUUGUGUGUAGGAGGAGUGGCUAUUCUGUUAAAUGACAUGGCAAAACUGACACUGUCGGAUGCCAAUCUAACGGUUCUUACGGCGUUCGUCAGGAAAAGGCUUGUGGCGAACGUUUGUCGGAUAAUGAUUUACGGACACAUGCAUUGCAUUGAUACGUGCCCCCCUCUCUCUCACGCACACGCACCCUCACGAGUCACGACUCUCCCGAGUCCUCUCGCAGACUCGCACGUCGCACCCGUCGUCUAUCUGCAGGUAGACGUCACGCACAUAUGUGCUCUUCACACCCUACCCACAGAACUUCUAAAAAACAAAAGACAACACGCACAUUUUAUUUUAGCUCACAUGUUACACACUUAUACUAUUACUCUUGCAGUGAAUGUUCUUUGGGCAUAGUAUAUAUUGUACUCUCACGAAGAGAAGCGGUGCACGCAUGCACUAGUUCUCUCACACCCACUCGCGGGUACAUGUAGGAGCACAUUUUUUUGAAGCCGGUACAACAAAAUCACUCCACUAUAUAUAAAAGCAGGAGCCUUAGCGCUUGCUUUACUAGGGUUCCUCUCGUUCACUCUCUCAUGCUCUCCAGAUCUAAGCAAGACAUAGGUGGCCACACUCUCUCUCUCAGCUCAUGGUUGGUCACAAAUCCGACCGGACAACCUCGACUAGGGCAGGGGGUGUAGGUGCAUCAUUCACGCCGUCGUCGGCGGCGAGGGAGGAGACCAAAGGCUGCCCGCGCGUCUCGAUCGGCGGCUGUGCCGUUCUCUCCGAGAGAGCGCCGGCUCAGGAGGGCCUCCGACCCCUUCUUCCUCCCUGCGGUAUUGUGGCCAAGAUGCGGCCUCCCGACACCGUCUUUGCCACAUGCCGACGACCCUCAGGUAUAUAUUCCUUCGAAACCUGCCUUACUCUACUGCCCCAGCUCUUCCCCCUUCGUGUGGAUCCUUUUCUACUUCCGUCCGCUGUUACAAAGCCACCUAGAUUUCUACUAUUAUUAGAAGUAAAGCUAGUUCAUACAGUGAACUCAAAGUGUUGGUUCAAACAAGGAAGAAAGUGGGAAAGCUGUAGCAUGAAUCUAGGACUUGGUUCUGAGAGGAAACGGGGGAAAGUAGUAAUAUGUGUCACUGUUUAAAUAACCGUAUUUCGUAUUUGCGCAAACAGGGAUGUCUGUCUCCAUAUCGUUUCAGGAUGUCUGUCUCUGUAUCGUUUCUAUCCGCGCAAUCAAAAGCACACACCUCAAUUUUAGUACAACUGCGCAAAAUGAGAUGGCUAUCCCUCGUUGCCGUCGUCUAACCUCCCAUCUUCAAGGUAUCCCUACAUUGGUAGUAACUAAGGUAGAAUGACCAACGCAAUCUAAAAGAAGUUGAUUCGUACGUUUUACUUCCUGAUUGCAGUGCAGGGACGAGCGAAAACAACUGCAUCCUAGUCUGGAAUGCACUUUCUACCAGUUCAUCCAUGGACCGAGGACUAGCUGGCACGGCUACACGACGGUUUUUUGGACAGGUGCACGGACAAGAGGCAUUGUGGUCUGCUUAUUUCUGCAAAUAGCAGUGCUUAAAUUUAGUGGAAUGCACAAGCAUUUCAGCUGGUCAGUAGACUGCAUGGUUCAGUUCAGCAUUCCAGCUGAGACCACAAUUAUAAUUGGUUAUUCUGGAAUGAGAUAACCUAACCCUGGAUGGUGGUAACAAGAAAAAACCAGAGUGAACUCCAGGAAAUUUAAGCCUGCCGGGAGGCCCUUUGCUCAGAGAAGCCUUGCUUGUUUUUUCCUGAUUUGUAAACCUUCUCACAACUUUGUCUUUUGUUGUGAACUAGUAUAUGUUUGUUAUGUUCUAUGAAUCAUUGAGAUGUAUAAAAUUGCUUAACUUAUGCUUUUCAAGAUUUUUAUGAAGACGAGUUUAAUUGUGCGUGUUCCACAUGAGCGCUGGACUAGCGUGUGAACGUUUGGAAUUUAUUACAUUAUGGCCUCAAUUAACUGCAUGAACCACUGUAACAAGAUACAUAGUAGUUGCUUAUAUAUCAGACAUCAGAUUGUUGAUUGUUAGCUGGUCGAUAGCCUAGUGUUGAAGCAAGCUGAGACAAUGUGUCGUGUUUUGCACAACUGCUUACAAGUGGGGUAGCACCAACAGUGUUUACAAGUACUUAUGUAUACGUCGGCGCACGGUUCUCGAACGAGUGCUCUAUUUCAUCAAAACACACACUACUCGUAUGAUAAACCGUGACAACUUAUGUCUUACCAUGCCAUAUUCAUGAAAAAACUAGUGAGGACGCAUCUCUUUCGGCAACAAUUAUGAUGGUUCUCACAUGAUUCACGGGCACACAAAAGUAGCAGCAGUUCCCAUAGACGGAUUCAAACAGAGUACUAGCCCCAGAGGGGUCGAUAACAGGCAAGGUUCGGAUAAUUAGACACAAUCCAAACUACUAUUAAACACUAGCUGGGGCAACUAUUUCAUGCCUCGAUCUAAUUUGGGCUGGACACAAGAUGGACCUUGCCAUGAACAUCAUCGAGGAUGUCCCGCAGCAGCUCAAUCCCGUGAACCUUCAUGAAAACAACCUUGUGGCCUUGCCACUGAUAAACUUGUUUGUGGAGGCAUGCCACGUCAUCUUCCCGCAUAAGCUUGACAAGAACAGUAUGCCUCACAAACGAAGGAGUAGCUUUGAACUUCUUGUUCUUCAGUACACCCUGGACAACACGCCUGACAACAGUGAGGCUGGAAUACAACUCUUCAUUGGUAUAACCGCAAAUGGCUUCCAGGAUCCAACAACCUAAGAACUGUGUUUUCCUAGUGCGUAUAUUCAGGUCGUCCGCCUCAUAGCGAGUGACAUGCACAACCACACAAUCCUUGUCUGCAUCAGGGCUCUAAUUGAAACAGAAACAAAUUCUGAAUUACUUUUCAGUAUAAGAAACACAAGUUAUUUAAACCACUAUGUAUAGCAUGGCAUCGAAGCUAAUAAAAGUUUGCAUUAUUAAUCACCACAUACUUCCUUUUCUAAAAAAUCACCACAUACAUAGAUGAAAAACCACAAUCAAGAUCGGCAAAGAANNNNNNNNNNNNNNNNNNNNNNNNNNNNNNNNNNNNNNNNNNNNNNNNNNNNNNNNNNNNNNNNNNNNNNNNNNNNNNNNNNNNNNNNNNNNNNNNNNNNNNNNNNNNNNNNNNNNNNNNNNNNNNNNNNNNNNNNNNNNNNNNNNNNNNNNNNNNNNNNNNNNNNNNNNNNNNNNNNNNNNNNNNNNNNNNNNNNNNNNNNNNNNNNNNNNNNNNNNNNNNNNNNNNNNNNNNNNNNNNNNNNNNNNAACGGGGUGUUGACCAUCUCAGUAGUGUCCGUGAGCGUAUCUGGGGUCGGCUCGGUGGUUGCCUCCAUCUUCUGGGAGCUCUCUGUCUCGUGGGGAUCAGCCUCCCCCGUCUGCUCCAAUAUCGGCAGAUCUUUGCCUGGUUCUCCUUGGUCCAUCAUGAAACUGACGAAUACUAGGAGACCACUGAAAGGAAAACACAAUCGCAAUGACAAUGAAACAAAAAAGAGAGUGAGGAUCAGUUACUGCUUUGCAAAAGUUCUUUUUUUCUCUGAACGAAAAUAUACCAACAUCACGGAUCCGCUUACCUUCCCUUCGUUGGGGGAGAAGAACAGUGGCAGAUGCUAGUGUUGCCUUUCUUGAAGACGGUGAGGGAGAAGGGGAUUCAGCGAGGAAUGAAAUGAUGGUUGCUUCGUCCGUCAAACUUAGACUGCGGGGAGGUGGGGUUUUGUGAUACGACGGCUCGUUACUGCCGCGCUACGACCGGGGUGACUCUCCGCCUGCAUACUGCCUGCUAAUUUGGUGGAUGGCAUUUGGGCCCGCGCACUGCAUGGCCCGCAUGUUGGUGAACAAAAGUAUAACGGCAUUCAGUAGAGGGAGACGUUUCAAUGACCUAGGAGGAGCCAGAAGCGGUAGAGUGUCUCCACUGUACUAGUAGUAAUUGUUUUUCUGGGUAGCUGUAGAGUGUCUCCACUGUACUAGUAGUAAUUGUUUUUCUGGGUAGCUGUAGAGUGUCUCCACUGUACUAGUAGUAAUUGUUUCCCUGGGCCCAAGACAAAACAGCCAAUCCACACUAGUAAAUAGUAAAAUCAAUUCAAAAGGCGCUACCCACACCCAGCACACCGCCCCCUCCCCCACAAAAAAAACCUGGGUGCUCUUCUUCCUCCUCGCUCCCACCCACCUCACGUCAGCUCACUCCACUUGUACCCCCAAAUUCCUCACCUCACUCCUACAGAAAACCCCAGCUCCCCUUCUUCCUCACUCCAACAGAAAACCCCCAGCUCCCCUUCUUCUUCGCUCACACUACAACUAGGCUCGUCAUUCGUUACUCUGCUCAAAUUCGUGAGCGCGACAUGACGCCCUCGAGGAAAAUGGAGUCGGCUGACCCCAGCGCCAAGAAGAUGAGGCUCCCGCUAGCGGCGACGCCUGUUGUAGAUCCCGCACCCAGUAGCACGGGGAGAAGCGGCGACCCCGCCCGCACCAGAUCCCAGGAACCCGUAGAAUCUCGGGUGGACCGCAUCAGCGACUUCCUAGACGCCAUCCUUGGGGAGAUCAUCUCGCUUCUCCCCACCAAGGAUUGCUGCCUCACCCAAGUCCUCUCAAUUCGGUGGCGCCCUCUAUGGCGCGCCGUGCCCCUUAAUCUCGACUGUUGUCAGCUAUCUCUGUUCAAUGAUUUUGAAACCCCCAGAGCCAUCAUCUCCUCCCACCAGGGCUCCGUUCAAAGCCUCUGUAUCCCGUCAUGCUACCUGAGCAAGCAUACCAUGCCCUGCAUGGUGGACGCCUGGAUGAAAUCCCCUGAAUUCAUAGAACUACAGCUGCUUGAGUUCUAAUAUUCCCCUGGAAAUCACAUACCACAUACAGAACGCCAUGAACUUGUGCCCUCAGCACCGAUGUCCAUCUCGCGGUUUUCCUCCUCUCUCCACACCGCCACCUUUGCACUGUGCUACCUACCAGACAAUCUGGUACUAAACCUUCGACUCCCAUUUCUCAAGAAACUUUCACUUGUGUGGGUUCGUAUAUCGGAGGCCUCAUUGCACAGCAUCAUCCACUCAAGUUGCCCUGCGCUGGAGUGCUUGGUGCUUGUUUUCACAGUUAGAAUCGGUUGUCUCCAAAUAAAGUUGACUAACCUUGUAAGAAUUGGAAUUUCUUUUGAUGGAAGGCAGCUCAUCAUCCAAGAUGCCCCUUCACUUCAAAGGUUGAUCCUUGAUUCUAGUUAUUCACCGUUGCAAAUAACCGUCCUCUCUGCGCCUAAACUGGAGACCUUGGGUGUAAUACAUGAUCUCUGUGCUCAUUUCAAUAUGGUGUUUGGCUCCACAGUUCUUCAGGUACUUUAUAUUAUCAUCUACACUUGUAACCAUAUGCUGCAUUUUAAAUUUCUGCGCAUAAUUUAUAUAUCAUCUUGGAGUACACAUUUUGUACUAAUAUUAUGUUCUAUGCUCAAUGAAGAGUUUCUCCAUGGAUGGCCUAUCAAUGGUGUUGGAUUCUGUCAAGAUCUUAUAUAUCCAAAUGAAUAGUUUUGAUCUGAACAAGAUUAUUGGCUUGCUACAAUGCUUUCCAUGUCUAGAGAAGUUAUAUAUAAAGGUGAUAAUUUCAUGCACAUUGGAAGCCCGCAUAUAGUGUACUAGAAUUAAUCGUUCAGUUGUUGCUCUUUCGACACUCUUCUUUUAGACCUUAACUAUUUUCAAUCUUCAUGUCUAUUUAGGCAACAGGACGGGGUAAGAAAGUUAUAACCAAUCAGUGGAUUCGUAAGCAUCAGGAUUUUCUCACUUCUCAUGAGAUUCGAUUGAAGACAAUAACGCUAGAACGAUAUGUAGCGAACCGUGCAAACACAAGAUUUGUCACAUUCUUCCUGCUGAAUGCGAGGUUUCUAUUGUCCAUCAGGCUUAAGUUUAUGAGCAGCAUGGUUUUGACGGAUGGGUAUGUCGAAGAGCAAAAAAAGGAGUUUCAGGUGGGCAAAAGAGCUUCUGAACGUGUCGGGCUUCUAUUUACAACAUAUUGUGGUCAUAAUCCAGUAAAUUUUACGAUCUAGGAUGUUCAUUCUAUGGACCUGACCGAUCCAUUUGACUGUGACUGCCGAAAAUAGUGCUGGAGUUAGAUGUUGUUGCCCUUUUCAAUCUGGUUUUUUUGUAAACCUGAUGAACAAUCAACCCUCGUGCUUUUGUAUAGUUUGUAAGCUGGAGUUAGAUGUUCCUGCCCUUUUCAACUCGGUUGUGACUGUCAUAUUUUCUUUGAAACAAGGCAAAUGGCUUGCCAUUUGUUUAAUUUAGAGUGAAAUAUUGUAACAAAUCACAACCAAGGGAAAUAACAUCACUCACGCCGGCUGCUUGAGCUCACUGUGCAUUACAGGAGCCAAGUGACUAGCCCCCACCACCCCCACCAGUCAACCCUCGUACUCCCCUCCGCCUGCGACUAGACCGGUGCAUCUUCAACGGCUCCUGUUUGUUCCGUCCGAGGCCUCGCCGUUGUCCUCCGCCUUGCGGCCUUGGUUUGCUCGCCGUGCACGGUGCACCGACCUCUUGCGUUGUCAACGUCGUCAACAACCGAGAGGAACAAGGAGAUGACUCUACGUGGAGAGGAUGACAGUAGGGACCCACCAGCGUCAUGGCAGUACACAAGCAAGUGCCUCUAUAGUACAAGCCCAAAAAUAUGGUUCCUCCUAAUGGUUGGACAUCUUGGGCUCACGCCAUUGUCAACGUAGUCAAUAAACGAGAGAAUUACACUACGAGCGUCUGACAGCAGGGACCCAGCAAGUCGCGCAGUUUUUUUAGGAAGAAAGCAGUUUUUUUUGAGACAAUGAGGAACAAGUAGUUGUUAUUUAUACUAGUUUUAGCGACGGAUCAGGGUACCAACGGGGCUGUGUGGGGGUUGUGGCCCGUCUAGCCAGUGUUUUAUUUAUGUUUACCACAUGAUGAGCCCAGUUGUGUUUUUUUCUUGCUGAAAAUGGCUAGCCCAGUUCUAAUUUUUUUAAAGAAAUACCCAAACAAGGCCUACUUGCUUUAUCGGCCCUGCUAGGCUGCAAAUGUUUCAAGACGAGGAGAGUUUCAUUUGGUUUUCCCAGAAAUGGCAUGUACAUUUUUAAAACACAUCAAACCGGGAAUUACUUUCAAUUUUUUUCAUUACAAGAUCUUAAAUUCCAUUGAUUUUUAUGCAUGGACAAUUAUUUGGAUUUUAUAUUUAUAUAAAUUAUUUUUCAAAAUAGUUUGAAUGUGAAUCGAUAUUUCUGGAUUAAAAACGGUUGACCGCACUGAAAUAUGCAAAAUUUCGUAUAGUUUUUAACCGUGGCCACAAUAUGGGGUGUAAUGCUAACAAAAAGAAGAUGGGCUCCAAAACAAAUCUUAAGAAUUAGCAAAUGGGCUGUACAUUAUUAGAAAUAAUGGCAGAUGGGCUAUAUGCUGUUUUCCACAGAUUUGAGGCUGACUUGUGCGCCUACUACAGGUUGACGCAUAUGCUUUCAUAAAAAAAAAGGUUGACACACAUGCAACGCCCUAUCAACUUAGUCAACACACGAGAGCAGUGACUGUUGGAUAUCCAUCCAACGGCUGUCGUGCUUCUUCAAUCUCUGCUCUUCAUGCUCCAGCCGCUCAAACAAGCAUCGGCGGGACCGCCUGCUCCCUCCUCCCGCGGUCGGGUAUGCUGCCGCACAGGCCUCAUGGCCCCACCAUACUCCCAUCGCUGGCCUAGCCAUCCCUUUACUCACCCACACAUGUUGUUAUUCUCCGGCGACGACAGACGAACCAGUAAACCCUCGUACUACUCCGCGUGGGAAACAACUGCCGAGUAUUCCCUAGCUCCGUGUCGUUCCCUUCCUAGGCCUCGCCGUCGUCCACUGCCCGGGUGCUCUCGGCACGACCUGGUCAACGUGGUCAAUGAACGACAUCCAUCGGAAGUGGACUGUACGUGGAGAGGCUGACAGCUGGGUCCACGGCCGCACGCAAGGAAAUGCCUCCUUAUUACGCGCAAAAUAAUGAAUCCUCCACCUGACAGCUAGGACCCACAGGAAGGGCCUCUAUAUUUCACGAAAAAACAUUCCCCCCGCUGACAGGUCGGACCCACCAGCUAUAUAUUCGCACGCAAGGAAGUGCCUCCUUAUUACACCCAAAAAAA